rnacentral:lncRNA from 1 species
ACCUCCACCACCACGAUGUCCUGGCGGGCGUCCAGCGACGGCGCCAUGUACGCGCACAUGUUGGGGUUCUCCGCCAGAUACUCCUCCGUCAGGUGCAUGUACCGCUUCCGGAUCUGCGACUUGUCGCCUGCGCGUGCACACAAACAGUCGUGUCAGAGUCAGAAUCAAACCACCGUAUACAUCGUCGUCCGUCAAAGGCAUGCCAUGACAUUCCAGAGCAACGACAGAUCAAUCGAAAAAAGAGAAGGGCCGGUCCAGUCGUGCAAGGGAUGGUUAGGUACGGCGUGCGAAGGAUGUGAGUGAUCAAGCUUCUUGCUGAUUGAUGUGUAGAGCGAGCGAGCGAACAAUGGAGACGACGACGACGACAGAUGGGGAGAAAGUGCUAGAGAAAGACAAAAAGAAAUUUAUUUCAAUUCGAAAAAAACAAAAAAAAUAUUUUGAAUUGUUUGCUCAAAAACUUUUGGAAUCUGUAAAAAACGAAGAGACGACCGUAUGUAGAAAUCUGUUGAGUAGUCUCCACUGGUAAAAAAAGUAUUCAGAGUAAUUAACUUGGUCGUAAGUGGUAUAAAGUGUGUGAGUGGUGCGAGGACUUAAAACUACGAGGAAGCUGCUAUGCCGACGUGAAUGAAACAAGAAAAAGCAGGAGACGACGAUGUGAGUCAUCAACAAGCUUCUUCCUGGUUGAUGUGUAGAGCGAGCGAACGAUGGAGACGACGACGACGACAGACGGGGAGAAUAGAGCUAGAUGAGAGAGACAAUUAAAGAGAUACUCACACAUCCUCUUGAACUUCUCCUUGAGUUCGGUCAUGUGCUCGCUCUUUGUGAUCCGGAAGUAGUAGUCCGGGUAGUCCGCCUGGUGCACGCAGUUGGCCGGCGUCGCCGUCCCGAUCGCCAGCACGGUGGCCGGGCCCGUCGCGCGCUGCGCCUUCCUCACCUCCUCGACGGUCACAGUCGCGGCGGCCAUCGUCUCCCUCGCUUCUCUCUCUCUAUACGUUCUACCAGAGGCAAUCGGCUGCUAGCUACUUCGACACGUCAAUCGGUCGCCGGCCGGCUUUCCGGAUCUUCACAGCGAGACAGAGAGGUAGCUUCGGCGGCGAGCGAGCGCUGUGGAAGAUGAUCGGCUGUGGCCAGUAGCUCUGGGAUGGGAGCGCUGGUUGCUUGCUGUAAUGGCAGAGGAGCCCGCGGGGUGGUUAUAUAGCCGCGCGGUGUGUACCGUGUAGGUCGGUCAAGGUCGCUUCACUACCGGUUUCAUCGUCAGCCGGUCAGCCACGUGAUCACGUGGGAAUAUUCAAAGUCUAACAUGGUUUCUGGCUUUUAUUCUUCUUUCCCCACCCUACCUUAUUGCCAAUUUUCUUUUUUAUAUUUUUCUUUGCGUCGAAGUGUGGCGCGCGGCUCCUUAAUUUAGUUUAUUAUCUCGGCAAAUUUCGUGGUACUAACCGGCUUGUUUGAAAAAUGGUGGAUUAUUGUGUGAGAUUGGCCAAACCUAGAGAUGUGAGAAUUAUCCUUUCAAGUUCUCUUCUUUUACUAACAUAUUCAGUACUGUAAAAGUAGGUGGAACCAGAUACCCUCUCUCGGGCUCUCGGGUUUGUGUUAAAUAGGCAGGGAAUAGCUCCCUGCAUGGCACAUAUAACACAGUCAACAUAGAGAGAUAUUAUACAAGCGGUUCGCAACUCUUUUCUACAGUUGGAUUGACGAACCGCCUGCGCUGGUGGUCUGUGGAAAUAAACUUUUCCACAGACCUAUGGAAAUUCAUUUCUACAGGCGGUUCACAUAACUGAACCGCCUGUAGAAAUCAUUUUAUAAAAAAUACAAAAUUGACUUUUAAAAAUAGAAAAAAAGAUUUUAAUUAUGGGGAAAGCCCACGUUUUUUUUCUCGUAAAAUCGCGUGCUCCGCGGCCGGUGGGAUUCAAAACUAAAACCUCGCCCUUGCGCAUAGCCUCCUCUACCACUCCACCUAUCACUCAACUGUGUCUAUAUUAGAGUUUAGUUCCCCAUAUAUUAUCUUAAACCGAGCAUAUAUUGAUUAUUUGAGAGCCUAAACGGAUUUCAAUAGAAAAGUUAUCAACUACAAAGUUCCAUAACUUUUGAAGAUCUACAACUUUUAUAUUGCUAGUUUCUCCAUCUGAGGUCAUUUACAAAAUUUGAAUUUCAAAUUUGAGAAAUUCAAACGUAGUUUUCGACGACAAGAUGAUUUCAAAUGAAAAAUUAUCAACUACAAAGUUUGAUAACUUUUCGAGAUCUACAACUUUCAUUUUGAUGGUUUUUUCAAACGAGAUCAUUUGAAAAACUCAAAAAAUUUAAUUUCAAAUUAUUUCUACAGGCGGAUUUCUUAAGAAACCGUCUCUAGAAAUAUGAUUUUUAUAGGCAGUUUCUUAGGAGAACCGCCUGUAGAAAUACAUGAUUUCUACAGGCGGUUUUGUUAGGAAAACCGCCUGUAGAAAUUGAUUUUCACAGGCGGUUUUUGAGUUGGGCCCACCAAUUUCUUUUUACAGACGUUCUUUAAUCGAUUCCGUCUGUAAAAAUUUAUUUUCACCGCCAGCGUAGAGCUUCUCUCUACUAGUGAGUGUUUCAGUUACAACAAACUCACACAAACCCUGCACCUAAUCACACGUGCGCAUGCACAAACACCAGCGGUGCCCAACAACCUGAGCCACACCGUCCUCAUCAAGUAUACAAUGAACCUGGACAUCCCUAUCCAGAGCUAUGAUUAUCUCAACAUCUAACACUCCCUCUCAACCUCAGCCACUAACAAGGUUGAAAUUGUUUCUGCACUCUUUCAUCUUCACAUCAGGAAGAGCGUUAGUAAAACCUUCUCCAAGUUGAUCACCCGUAUGAAUGAACUGUAUAUCCAGUAGCUUCUUGGGCACUCUUUCACACACAAAAUAGAAAUCAAUCUCGAUCUGUUUGGUUCUGGAGUGGAACAUAGGAUUGGCUGACAAAUACUUGGCACCAAUGUCAUCACACCAUAGCCUAGCCACUGGAGUAUGUUCAACACAAUGUUCUUCCAACAACUUUUGUAUCCAUAUCAUCUCGGCAGUGGCAUUGGCAAGUGCCUUGUAUUCAGCUUCCGUGCUUGACCGUGAGACAGUAGGUUGUUUACAAACACUCCAAGCGAUUAAAUUUGGACCAAAAAACAUAGCAAAUCCCCUGGUUGAUCGGCGAUCAUGCACGCACCCUACCCAAUCGACAUCAGAAAAGGCGCUGACUAGCAAUGAUCUCAACUACCUGAUUUUCAAACCCCAAUUGUGUGUUCCUCUCACAUACCGCGAGAUGCAUUUGACAACACUCAAAUGUGUAGUUGUGGGUGCAUGAAGGAACUGGCAAACUUUAUUCAUAGCAAAGGAGAUGUCUUGCCUUGUGAGAUUAAGAUAUUGCAAGGCUCCCACAAGACGCCGGCACUUAGUGGAAUCAUCCGGCUCGACAACAUCACCUCCAGUGACACUAGGUUUCUUAGACUGACAAUGGAGUAUCAACUGGUUUACUCCAUGCAUGAUCGUUGCAGCACAUCACUUGCAUAUUGUCCUUGAGAUAGAACCAAUCAAGCCAUCUGAUAGUGUUUCACCUUGAUGCCAAGGAAGUAGUGUAGCUCCCUAGAUAUUUUAGGGCAAACUCUUGUUCAAGAUCUCUAAGUAAUGUCGUGGUUGCACUUUGAGAAGAGCUCGACACGAUGAUGACAUCCACAUAUAUCAGCUCAAAAACAUUGUGCAACUUUCCUUAGAAUAAUAGAACAAUAAGGUGUCUCCCUUUGAUGGUGUGAAUCCCAGCUGCUGGAGCUUGGUGCAGAGACAAGCAUACAGGCUCGAGGUGCCUCUUUGAGACCAUAAACCGCCUUGUCCAACUUGCAAACAUAAGUUGGCCAGCUAGUAUCUCUGUGACCAGGAUAUUGAUGCAUGUAUACUUUGUCUUCUAACACACCAUGCAAAAAGGCAUUCUGCACAUCCAGUUGUCUCAAAGACCAACCCUUGGACACAACAAUUGAGAGUACAAGAUGAAUAGUAGCAGCUUCACAACCGGACUAAAAGUUUGAUCAUAAUCAAGGACACACCUCUGCUUAGACCCUUUUGCAACCAGGCGUGCCUUGUACCGGUCUAUGGAGCCAUCUGCCUUCUUCUUAACCUUGUAGACCCACUUCCAGCCGAUCAUAUUCUUGCCUUUGGGAAGUGGAACCAGACGUCAGGUUCUAUUCUUCAACAAGGCCGUAUAAUCACGAUUCAUGGCGGACACCCAUCUCGUGUCUUCGAGUGCCUCGCCAACGAAGGAAGGUUCACCUGCAUCUGAUGUGAUAGCCAUGCACCAAUGUACAAUGCAAUCUGUAGUCAAGUCACCGACCGCUGAUGUUCAUGUGUCACUAGAGUAGACGAAGUCGACAAGAUGGCCACACAUGAGUCAGUAGGCGGAGAUGGGACAUCUGAUUCAGCCGAAUCAAGUGGAUGUGACAGCAACCCACCGCUCAGAUCAGAUUGCGUUGGCGCACCCGUAGUUGUCAUGGAUGUCAUGGCUGAGCUCUGUGCAGAAGAUCCCAAAGUCGCAUCCGACAUAGAUCUAGAACUCGGCGCCAUGGAUCCCGAGGCAAAUUGGACCGUCGUACCUAGAGCAGACGCAGGCGAAUCCCCUCCGAUUGGCACACCGUGCCCCCCAUCAGGCCGGCAUAUGAAAUAACGUCCAUGGUCUGACAUUCUUUCAUCUUUUCGCAUCGUUUCUUCAUCAUUCAACUCCAUUCUUGAACCUUUGUCAUCACUAGUAGAGGCACUAGGCUGGGUAUUAGUAGGCCUUGAAUUAAUCACUGAUUGAUCAUGUAUAAUUGCAUCCACAAAAUUUGUAGAUGUAUUUCUGAGAGUGUCAAACACAAGUGCUAGUUCUGCUCAGAGGCAAGCACCAGCGUUUGGAUGAAGAGAGGCAAAGGGAAAACUGUGCUCAUCAAAGACAACAUCACAUGAUAUGUGUACGUGACCUUCAACACGGUCUAGGCACUUAAAGCCUUUGUGCUGAUUGUUGUACCCAACAAACACACACCGUUUAGAGUGAAAUUCGAACUUUCUUGAGUUAUAUGGUCUAAGAUUAGGCCAUACUGCACAGCCAAAUGACCUUAGGAAGGUAUAGUCAGGUGCUACACCAUGCAAAUGCUCAUACGAUGUGUGUUGUUGAAUGACUUUUGAUGGCGAUCGGUUGAUCAGAAAAACGACAGUGAGAAAGGCCUCAUCCCAAAAAUUUAGAGGCAUUGAAGCAUGCACCAAGAGGGACCGGACAACUUUGACAAUGUGUCGAUGUUUGCGUUCAGCCGACCCAUUCUGUUGAUGCGAGUGAGGACAUGAUACAAGGUGAGCAAUGCCCAAAUGUUUAAAGAAGGAAUUUAGCGAUUGGUAUUCCCCACCACAAUCUGACCGAACUGAAAUUAUUUUAUGUCCAAAUUGCCACUCAGCCAUGUUCUGAAAAUCUUUAAAGCACUGAAAAACUUCAGACUUAUGGUGUAAUUGAUAGAUCCAAGUGAACUUACUAAAAUCGUCAGUGAAACAGAUAUAAUAUUAAUGCCGGCCUACAGAAGUAGGAGCUGGUCCCCACACAUAAGAGAAAAUAAGUUCAAAAGGCUUUGAUGACACACUAACUAACUUGGGGGUAUGGGAGUUGAUGACUCUUACCUUGCUGACCUGCAUCGCAUAUCGAAUUAUUACAUGAAUCUUUAACAAACGAACAGUUAUGGUAGACAAGGACCUACUGCACUACUUGAGGAGAUGCAUGACCUAUCCUAUGAUGCCAUAUGGAUGUGGUGGGCUUGAUGGCACUGAGCACCUCUUUAUUCAGCUGUGGCUUCAGAGGAUACAGACCCUUUAACAUGGACAUCGGAGGAGAGUCUUCUUCAUGGCCUGUUCCUUGAUAACAAAGUGAUCGAGUUGAAAUUCAAGGAAGACAUUAUUAUCACAAGCAAUGCGAUUUAUGGAAAGUAGACUCUUAUUUGGAUCACGCACAUGAAGGAUGUUGUUAAAAUGAAUAUUGCAAACUUUUGAAUGCAACAUAUUAUGACCAUAGCACAGAUUACAAGUCACCAAGCUGGUUGUGAGUGACCAAGAAAAUAAACUAAGAAAUCAGAAAAAAGAAAAAAGAUACAAAGGAGGGUGCCUGCCCUCGACACCUAACACCUACGAACUGAGCCUAUAAGAAAGGUAUACUCCAUUGCAAAGGUCGACUACACACAAGAACGCCCAAAAAUGAUGACAGCAAAGCAUCUGCCGACAAACCAAAUGGUAGCAAAGCAUCUGCCAAUGAACCAACUAGUGGCCAAGCAUCCAUCAUGGGAGAAGCGAAGAUAUCCACUGUGGCUAAGCAUCUGUAGCAGUGGAAGGUCCAUGUCACUCUCGACAGUAAAACUUCUACCAGAGAGGAGGCGGACGACACAACAACAAAGCAUCCACCAACAAACCAAACAACGACAAAGCAUCCACCAACGAAGCAAUGGAAACCAGGCAAGGUGAAGAGUUGUAGGACAGACCAAUGUGAGUGGAAACAAAGCACAAUAGGCACAGUGAGGGACUCCUCAGGGAACCAAUUGCAGGACCUAGGAUGAUUCUUUAGCGACACCUUCAAACAAGGGGAUGCCCAUAGAAGCGCGUCAUUGUUGGUCUUAGAGGCAUCUAAGGUAGGGAUUUCACUAGAAUCUAGCACUAGUGGAGCACGGGCUCAUAGAAUGACGCCUCUGGGAAGGUUAGUGGCAUCAAGACAUUACUGUUGUUCGCCCGGCCACCGCCGGGCUAGGCUUUCUCCGAGAGCACCAUGCCAGUCACCUUCACUAGGCCACCCAACUAGCCCAGGUCGUGAGCUAGGCAAAUGUGCCCACUGGCCACCAAUGCCUAGCCCCCAACAACAUGAAUGUCAUGGGACCACUAGGACCCGCUGCCCUAGGCCUGAGGCCCCAGAAAAAACCAACUAGUGGGUGCUCAAUUGAGGCCACAGAACCUUCAUCGCGGACCACCAUCGUGCACCAUGAAGCACAUCGCAGCAAGGGAAGGAUGAGAGAGGCUAGGUCUAGACCAAGGAGGAGUGGAUCCAGUCCCGCUGGCUAGCCUGCUCGCAACAGGACACAGACAUUGCAACCACGUAGCCAUCCCUCACAUGUCCCCAUGCGUACAACAACUGCUCUAGUCUAAUGGAAGUUGCGUUGACUACUUCUGUCUUCCAGCCAUGUUCUGAAAACCGUUAAAGCAAUGAAAUACUUUGGACUUAUAGCGUAAUAGAUAAAUCGUCAAUGAAACUGACAUAAUAAUCAUGCGGGCCUACAGAAGUAGGAGCCAGUCCCCAAACAUCAAAGAAAAUAAGUUCAAAAGGCUUGGAUGACACACUAACUGACUUGGGGUAUGGGAGUCGAUGACUCUUACCCUGUUGACAUUCAUCGCAUGUUGAAUUAUUACAUGAACAUUUAACAAUCAAAAAUUUAUGAUGGCAGUUGAUAGUAAUUAACUCUAAUCUUAAGCCAUCAACUAAUCAUAGGAAAGGCCCAAAAUGAUUUAUAAAGUAAUAUUGUAGGGGUUUAUUGUAACGAGUUCCACGAGUUGUGUUGUUCUCACUUAUCUUGGAGGAUAUUCAAUAUUUCACCAUAUAAAAGUAUCUCAAGUGAAGAAUGUGAGCACACCAUUGCGGAGAGCUCGUCGAAUCAAUUGAGACCAACAUAUCAUUUGCUAUAUUUGGAGCACCAGAGAGAAAGUCUUCGAUGGAUGCGACUCGGAAGACUCUAGAAGACCCAAGAACCAUCAUCAUCAUAAGACAAGGGACUAAACCAACAAGAUUCCACAGCUUUGUGAAAUAAUAUUUUUCAGGUAUUUAUGUAGAAGUUGGGAAAGGAAAGAAUCCAUCCAUGACAUGACUCAUUGCACAAACAGAUCGGAAAGUGGCACUAGAAGGAUAUGGAAGACACUAUAAGGCAUAGGAACAAAGUGGAGAUCUGACGGCUGCUAGGUGGGGCCGGCCGACCCCACAUGCCAGGCCGGCUGGCCUGCUCCUACUACCAGGUGGGCCCUCCGUCGUGUGGCGGCCUCCAACCGACCUCUACGAUGCAUCUUGACCAUUCUUUCGUGUCGGUUUGAUCCGAGGGCUGUGGUUUAUCCCACUGGGGUAUAUAAGCAUAGGCAAACCCCCUUAAGACAAUCAAUUCAUUCAUUCCAUCAUUGUUUAGUUCAGAGGUGUCCCUUGAAAGGAUAACCUAGAGCUCCACUAGCUAGGGCAUAGCCUUGUACUUUUCUCUUGUAUUCAACAUUAUUAAUCUAUUUAUGCUAUUUGUCUUCUAGUUCAUUGUAUUCUUCUUCUAGUUCAUCUAUUUAUUCUUCUAGUUCAUCAUCUAGAUUGUCUAGUUCAUCGUGUUCUUGUCUAGUUCAUGUUGAUCAUCUAGUUCUUGUUCUAGUUCAUGUAUGAGUUGAAUACUUGAUAUGACUUGGUAUAAUUCUAGAUACAUAAUUAUAAUGUUCAUUGCCUAUGUUGGUUAUAUCUUUAGUAUAAUUGGAGUAGCUUUGUGUUUAUACCCUUGUUUGUAUAGUGCUCAUUUUGAUGAUCAAGGGGUGGGUGGUAGAUAUUGUGUAAGCGUGGUGCUUAUACGUUGUUUACCUAUGAAUGCACCCUAUAUUUUUGGCCAUGUGGUAGAUCACGAAGGUGACUAUUAUAGCUUCAUUGAGUCCUCUAUAGUCUACUUCCCGAAUAUAGGACAGGUAAGGCUUAGUUGUGGGGUGAUGUCUUGCUCAUUUCUUGACCCACCUUAGCCAUGUCUCUUGUUUAUGAAUACGUGGUAACCCUGACUAUGAUUGCUAUAUAUAAUUGCACUAAUAAAUGUAGCCCAAUGACCUAUAGUUAGAAUAACCCUGGUAGUUAGUCUAUAUUUUCUAGUUCUUUCUAGAGUCAUUCCUACGUAGGAAAAUGCUUGGUGGAACCCCUUUUAGGAUUACCAUGAUCUGUUAUUAAUUAUCCAUAUUUAUGAUAUGAUUGAUCCCUUCUUUGAGUUUGAUCUAGUGGAACUCUUAUCACAAGUGUAAGUUAUAGCUUUUAUUCUUUUGACCUCCAAGUGCCUUCCUAGUGGUAGAAUUAUAAAUAAUGACACCUUGAACUUUUCUUGGUGAAAUGCUAUAACGGGUGUAUUUUAUCUAUACGCUUGUGGAUAACCUUCAUUCAUCUUUUAUAACUACUAUGAUCAUAAGUACAACCACAUCUUUUGGUGUUGUGUUGGGGAUGACAACUUGGCUUAAGGAAUGCUAAGAGAUGUCUCGAACAUUUUUGACGCCUUUGCUAAGGAAGGAUUUGACCCUUGUAUUUGUAAUUGUGUUAGAGAUGUCAAUAGUGGCUAAGGACCUGCUGCACUACUUGAGGAGAUGCAUUGCCUAGCCUAUGAUGCCAUAUGGAUGUGAUGGGCUUGAAGGCACCGAGCAGCUCUUUAUUCAGCUAUGGCUUCAGAGGAUAUGGACUCCUUUCACAUGGACCUCGGAGGAGAGUAUUCUUCCUGGCCUGCUCCUUGAUGACAAAGUGAUGGGCAUGAAAUUCAAGGAAGGCAUUAUUAUCACAAGCAAUGCGAUUUACAGAAAGCAGACUCUUAUUUGCAUCAGGCACAUGUAGGAUGUUGUUAAGAUGAAUAUUGCGAACUUAGGAAUGCAACAUAUUAUGACCAAUGUAGCACAGAUUACAAAUCACCAAGGUGGUGGUGAGGGACCUAGAAAAUAAACUAAGAAACAAGAAAAUGAAAAAAGAUACAUAGGAGGGUGACUGCCCUCAACAUCUAACACCUAGGAACUGAGCCUGCAAGAAAGUGACACACCAUCACAAAGGUCAACUACACAGAAGACCGCCCAACAACGAUGAUGGCAAAGCAUCCGCCAACAAACCAAAUGGUGGAAAAGCAUCCGCCAAUGAACCAACCAGUGGCCAAACAUUCAUCAGGGAGAAGCGAAGAUAUCCACUACGACAAAGCAUCGGUAACUGUGGGACGUCCAAAUCACUCUCGAUAGCAAAGCUUCUACCAGAGAGGAUGCCGACGGCACAAUGACAAACCAUUCGACAACGAACCAAACAAUGGCAAAGCAUCCACCAACGAACCAAUGGCGAUAGAGCAUCCACCAGAGGAGAUAGCAGCAAAGCAUCCAUUACAAUAUCCAAUGACCAUGCACCGGGCAAGGUCAAGAGUUGCAGGAUAGACCAAUGUGAUUGGAAAUGAAAAACAAUAUGCACCGUGGGGGACUCCUCCGGGAAUCAACGAUAGGACGUAGGCUUAUUCAUUAGCGACACCUUCAAAGAAGGGGGAUGCUCAUAGAACCGCAUUGUCGUUUGACAUAGAAGCAUCUAAGACUGGGCUUUCAUCUAGAAUCUAGCACCGGUGGAGAACAGGCUCGUAGAAUGACGCCUCUAGGAAGGUAAGUGGCAUCAAGACAUCACCGUUGUUCGCCCGACGACCACUGGGCUAGGCUUUCUCCCAGAGCACCACGCCGACUACCGCCACUAGGCCACCCAGCUAGCCCAAGUCGCGAGCCAGGCAAAUGUGGCUAGUGGCCACCAACGCUCGGCCUGAGACGCCAAGAAGGUCUUGGGACCACCAGAACCCACUGCGCCUCAGGCCCUAGAAAAAGCCAACUAGCGGGCGCUCGACUGAGCCCACAAAACCUCCAUCGGGCGCCACCACCACGCACCACGAAGCACAUCGUAGCAAGGGGAGGAGGAGAGAGGCUUGCUCUGGACUAGGGAGGGGUGGAUCCAGUCCCGUCGCCUAGACUGCUCGCAAUAGGACACUGGCGGUGCAACGCCGUAGCGGUCCCUCACGUGUCCCCACGCGUACGAUGGCCGCUCUAAUCUGAGGGGAAUUGCACCGACCACAUCCGUCUGCCAGACUGGAGGGGGUGCGAGAAUCGAGCGUGGCCUGGCUGCCUCGACUGCUCGCAGAGGGGGCCCAUGACCUGACUCCAACACGCGCCAGAGCAUGAAGGAGAACUGUUGUGCUACCCAGCCUUCCGCCACAGGAAGUAGUAGAUCCGGAUGCAAGGAAGCUGGAUGCCACAGAGGGCUCAGAUCCACCCCGCCGGUCCGCCAGUUCUCCGGAGGAGCUAUGUGGAGGGGAGAAAGGCAAAGGAGAGGGGAAGAGGGGGGAGACUAUGACGAAGGAGGCUUUGGCAGGCCGCCGCCAUGCCCCGGGAGGCGGCAGCGACAGCCGAAGAGGGGCGGUAGGUGGCGGGCUGGCGAGCCGGCGGCAGGAACCCCCAAGUCGGCCGUUGGGAGGUUCUCGGGGGAAAAAGUUGCAAGAGCUCACCAUUGGAUACAUGCAGGAAGUCCGGUUUGGCUGACUGUCGAGUGAACGUCAGGCGAUCUGUUUCAACGGCAAUGAUUCUUUAAGCUACAGAUUUAGCCAACCAUGUGCUUGGACUACUCUCCAUAUUUAGCCGUAUCUGCGAUGAGGAUUAGAAGGUGACAAACCGAGCCUUUCCGUACACAGUCAUAUAUAUGCAUGUGGUUAGCAUUUCGGUGACCAAACUAAGCGUUUCAAUUUCAAGCCAAACUACUGCAUUGCCAUCCUCAUCAAUUUACAGUGGUUCACAUUUCGUUCGUAGAAAUUAAUGCCAUUCAUCUGAUGACUAGUUGUACGUGUAGAAGGUCCCUUUGCCUCGCCUAUGGUAGAUUCUUUUUUUGCGAGACCCAGACACAAACGCUCACCAUACAAGUGCACAUUCAUCCUAUAAAUAUACUCACACACACUACCCCUAUGAGCACCUAAACGACUGAGUUGGACCGGCAAAUCUCAUUCAGAAAACCUAUAUAGAAUGCUCAAAUCCAAGGAUGGCCCUCCGCACCCGGCUGCAAAGUUCUGAUCCGCUGGCUAAGCAAAGCACCUCCUACAGUGCAGUUCUUCAUGUGGCUGCUUAUUCACGGAAGGAUUCAGUGCAAAACAAACUAACUUCGUAAAAGAGUGGUGGAUAACCCAAUCUGCCAGGUCUGCAACCAAAUGCCAGAGUCUACAGAUCACAUCAUUGCCGAAUGUAAAUUUGCUACUGAUAGUCUUUCAGAAUGGCAAUUGGCAACAGGGUAGUGGCAUCUGCAAUCCACGAAACUACAACACCAUCCUAUAUUCGAGACAAGCACUUCGCAACCUUCGUUGCCCUUUGUUGCUGGCAGUUGUGGAAAUAGACAAAUUGCUGAUUCUUAGUGUAAUGUUUUCCAAACAGCAUCAUUCGGGAAAACACUGAUGUAAACCUUUAUUAUCUGGGGUGGCAUUUUCAGCCAAGAUCACUUAAUACAAAUUUAAGGUGGGGAAACUCUCCCUCCCCGUUGAAGCUCAAAAAAUAAUAAUUGUUGAUCUGUCCACCAUGUUUGGAGCAUUUCAGGCGGUGAUGGCCGCUCCGGUGGUGAUGGGAACACUGUGGAGCACGACGGUCUCGACGGUGAGCCCGGGGCCAAAGCCAAAGAGGACGCCCCAGUCGAAGCCUUCGCCGGUGGUGGCCCGGCCAUCCUCGGCGGAGCGCUUACGCAUCUCGUCGAGGAUGAAGAGGACGCAGGCGCUGGACAUGUUGCCGUACUCAGAGAGAACAUGUCGCGUAGCGCGCAUUCGCUCCUUCUCCAGCCCGACCUUGGCCUCCACCUGGUCCAGGAUCGCCGGCCCACCGGGGUGCGCCACCCAGAAGAUAGAGUUGUAGUCGGUGAUCCCCAGCGGCUUGAAUGCCUCCUCCAGUGAGCGCUCUAUGUUCUUGGAGAUGAGCCCGGGCACGUCCUUGAGCAGAUGGAACGUGAGCCCGACCUCGCGGAGGUGGCCGUCGAUGGCGCCCUCGGAGUCUGGGAGGAUGGUCUGUGAUGCCGAGACGAGUUGGAACAGCGGGCGUUCCACACGCUCGUCGGGGUCAGCACCGACAAUAACCGCCGCGGCACCGUCGCCGAACAGCGCCUGCCCGACCAUGGAGUCGAGGUGGGACUCGGAGGGUCCACGGAACGUGACGGCGGUGAUCUCGGAGCACACCACCAGGACGCGCGCCCCACGGUUGUUCUCGGCGAGGUCCUUAGCCACGCGCAGCACCGUGCCGCCCGCGAAGCACCCCUGCUGGUACAUCAUCAGGCGGUUCACCGAGGGCCUCAGGCCCAGCAUCUUGGUGAGCUGGUAGUCGGCGCCCGGCAUGUCGACGCCGGAGGUGGUGCAGAAGACGAGGUGGGUGAUCUUGGAUUUCGGCUGCCCCCACUCCUUGAUCGCCUUCUGCGCUGCGGCCUUGCCCAGCUUGGGGACCUCCACCACCACGAUGUCCUGGCGGGCGUCCAGCGACGGCGCCAUGUACGCGCACAUGUUGGGGUUCUCCGCUAGGUACUCCUCCGUCAGGUGCAUGUACCGCUUCCGGAUCUGCGACUUGUCGCCUGUACCAGGUCAGUGAAUGUCAGACAGUCAGAGUCAGAAUAAAACCACCGUCGUCUAGGCAUGGCAUGGCAUGCUAUGGUGGAGCGCGGACGUCAGUGCAAGACCGCCGUCGUCGGUCAGUUUCUGGCCUUUCGAAAGAGCUAGAGAGAGACAAGUAUACUCACACAUCCUCUUGAACUUCUCCUUGAGUUCGGUCAUGUGCUCGCUCUUUGUGAUCCGGAAGUAGUAGUCCGGGUAGUCGGCCUGGUGCACGCAGUUGGCCGGCGUCGCCGUCCCGAUCGCCAGCACGGUGGCCGGCCCCGUCGCGCGCUGCGCCUUCCUCACCUCCUCCACGGUCACAGUCGCGCCGGCCAUCGUCUCCGUCCGCUCUUUCUCUCUACGUUGUACCAGAGGCAAUCGACCCCUAGCUACUUCGACAGGACGGUCGCCGGCCGGCUUUCCGUAUCGUCGGAGCUUGCUGUGCGACGGCAAGCGAGCGCUGUGAAGGUAGAUCGGUUAUGGCCUGUGGCUCUGGGAUGGGAGCGCUUGCUUGCUGUAAUGGCAGAGGAGGCAAAGGUUAUAUAGCCGCGCAUGCAGCUGGGGCAAAGGUGUGGAUUUCCCUUAACAUAAGACGACAAUCGAUUUUUAAGGUUGUGUGAGAGUGACUGCAUGCAUACAUGCAUGUGUUUAAAUCGUGCCUGUUCUCCCUUGUGUGUAAAUCACGGUCACGAAUACCAGUAGACAGUGUCACGUGCUACACUGAACGACCUAUGCUGGAAUAUAAGAGAGUGCUAUUGCAAAGUAUCAGCAUAUACUUUGUCAAAAUAUAUAGGAUAUUUUGACUACCGGUUUCCAUCCGUUAGUCGGUCAGCCACGUGAUCACGUGGGGAUUUUGAAGUCUAACCAAAUGGGAUAUGGUCUUUCUUCCCCCACCCUCUUGAAUAUGAUAGACAUAGGGAUGUAUUGGGUAAGUAAUGAGAAAUUAUGUAUCUUGAACAUGAUCACCUCAACUACCAUUUGAUCUAUUUGGAAACUUAGACAUGGUCUCUGUUUUUAGACGAUUGGCUAGAUAAGCAUGGAAAUGCUCCUUUUUAGGAUUAUUGGGCUCUUGCUUUGGAUGGUUCUGUGCCCAUCCGAUAAGAAGAAUUUACUAGAAGCUUACCUCAACAAGAUCAAGACUAUGACAGGGGAUGGUGAAGAAUGACCUGGAAAUCCUUGAUGGGUCAAGAUUCAGCGAUCACUACGGGAAACAAGAUCUUUGCCGAGGGUCCAGCUUUGCCGAGAGCCAGACCCUCGGCAAAGCACCCUUUGCCGAGAGCCAGGGCGGACUCUAGGCAAAGAACCUUUGCCGACAGCUAAGCUCUCGGCAAAGCCGAGCACUCGGCAAAGGUGCCGCGCCGUGAACAGCUUCCGUAGUCGUCGCCUUUGCCGAGAGCCAUCCCGUUAGGCUCUCGGCAAAGAGGAGGGUGGCAAAUCUCACAUGCCUAAAGCUAGGCCCAGGCCAGCAACCUUUGCCGAGCGCAGGCCACCCUGGCUCUCGGCAAAGGCUCCUUUGCCGAGAGCCAAAAUUGACCCUCGGCAAAGAGGUCCUUUGCCGAGAGCCACUAUUAGCCCUCGGAAAAGAGAAUUUUUUUUUUGAAUUUUGGACCCAAAAUUUUUCUGUAGCCCUUGCAUAUUAUAUACAAGCAUAGGUUCAAAGUUUAGAGAUUUUUAUAACUUUUUGCUAUAUUUCAUCAAUUAAUUUAUUUUCCUUGUAUUUUUCUCGAAAAAGUCAAUUUGAACUAGAGGUGCAUGAAAUAAUAAAAUAUGGCCAUUCAAAAAAUGAUAUUCAUAUUCGAGAGUGCACUUUGAGGCUAUAUCCAUAAAGUCACCCAAAAAUUUGAAUGUCUUGUAUACGGAACAUGACCAUCGAUGUGUUGUAUAUGUGAUUUUUAAUUAUAAAAAAUCCAAAUGAACUCCAAAAAUCACAAAACUUGGCGACGUGCCAUGUUAUCGCAUGUGGACGCUGUGGUAAAAAAUUCAGUAGUGAGCUAGUGGCAGACAUCCUUGAGCAUGUUUAGUAGGCAGGGGAGUUUUGUUUGUAUAUAUAUGUUGCUGCCUACAUGUGGUAUUAUUUUUCUUAAAUUAGUAGGAGUAUAUUAUUUACAUACGGUUUGUGUGGGGUUGCACACUGCUAGCAGAGGUAACAGUAUGGUUUAUACUAGCGUGGGUUGGUUGCUAAUGCUGCAGGGGCUGUGUUGUGUGAGAGACCCAAUUAUGUUGGGUCUGGAUUUGGUGUAAUGAUGUGGUAUGGGACAUUGGGGUGGAUCACUGGAUGGUGCUGCUGCUGCAGGCUGCUACUGGUAGCGCUAGAUAAGAGCAGCUUGGUCUCAUGGAUCCUGUGAUGUGAACAAACAACCAAACAAACAAAGCCUGAUGAACUCAUCCAGGCACCACAGCUGCUCCCUGUCUUCUCUUCUCCAGCCAAACAAGAAAACACACACACCCCUUGGUUUUUCCAUCUCCACAAGCAGCAAGAAUUCUGGGGUCACCUUUCUUCUGUUUCUUUUCUCUUCCACCAACAAAAUACACCUACAACAAGCUCCAGCAGUCCAGCUGGGAAACACUACAAAUACAAAUCCAUUCUGUUAUCUUUUAUCAGUUUCCUAUUUCCUAUUAAAAAAAUCCUAUUCUCCAGAAUGCAUUAUUGGAUUUUGCGAAGGAUGUAUGUCUUUGCCGUAAGAUAUCCAUUUCAUGAAAACGGGAUGAACUGAACCUGCUGCUGUUGGUUUUUGUACCAAUGUAAAAACGAUUCCAGAAGUGUUUGCAGUUCACUUCCUAUGUACACGUUUGAGAAGCUCUUUGCCUAGCCAUUGCAUUCACAGCAGAAAACUUGCCGUUACAUGUGCUUAUACAUAUACAGCAGCAGCAUAUAAAUGCAGCCUUCUCAUUUGCAAAACUGAUCAGUAAAGGUUUAUAGUGAUAUUCCUUAAUUGGUUUUGGCUAUUUAUGUGUUCUACCUUUGUAUGUUAAGUUCCAAUUUGGGUAUUAAUUAAUGUGAUUAUAUUAACAAAUUUAUAUGUUGCAUAUAUAUGUGCUGCCGGCCAUCGAGCCGGCUUUUUUUUCCAGGUUUUGGAAACCUCCCCCGUGCAGGGGAGGUUCUGCCGAAAUUUUCUACUUAUAGUGUUGUUUUUUUUUGUUUUGCAGAGCAGGACCUGUCGAGGGGACUUAUGGCCACCCGAGUACGCAACACACGUGGCAGCGGGUGGCAGGUUAGUCCUUAUGGCCAACCGAGUACGCAACACACGUGGCCUGGUGCCCAUCCGCAGCACGGCCACCCUGGGUUGUCCGGCAGCCCUCCUCCGCGCCCCAGAUACUCGUACCCGUACCAGUCGGUGACAGAGUAGGCCAUGUGGGCGCCAUGGGCAGGUGGGAGCUCUCCACACCCUGGGGGGCACUCACCCUGGUCGGCGUGGCCAGAUGGGGGCUCGGGACACGACGGAGGCCAUGGCGACGACGGGUCAGAGUCACAACACUAGGGGUGAGGCGCUAGCUAGCGACUUCGAGUAGUGAUAUUGAUGUAGAUUUGUGGUUUAUGUUAUGAACUUGUGGCAACUUUAUGUUAUAUUUGUCAUAUAUAUAUGUGGAUUUGUGAUAUCUGUGGACUUCAAUAUGUUUCAUGUGUGAUUUAUAUGUGGAUUUGUGAUAUAGACAUGUGGAUUUGUGAUAUGUGGCUGUGCAUGUAAAAAACAGGGAAAAAAACAAAAAAAAAUUCUAGCUUUACCGAGAACCAGAAUACCAGCACUCGGCAAAGAUGGAAAGCUGAUCACCAGAAUACCAGCUUUGCCGAGAGCCAGCCUGGUAGGCUCUCGGCAAAGUUUUUUUUAAAAAAAAAUUAAAAAGUCUUUGCCGAGAGCCUUCUAGCCCGGCUCUCGGCAAAGACGACGUCAACUUUAACGUUUCUUGACGGCGCCGUGGGCUUUGCCGAGGGCGCUUCUGGCCCUCGGCAAAGCCUUUGCCGAGAGCCUGGACACGUGGCUCUCGGCAAAGAAUUCUUUGCCGAGAGAUUCUUUGCCGAGAACUCUUUGCCGAGAGCCACGUGGCAGGCUCUCGGCAAAGCCUUUGCCGAGGGCUUUUAGGCGUUUGCCGAGGGCUCUCGACACUCGGCAAAGACGGUGGAUCCAGUAGUGGAUUGAAUGGGAUGUAAAGGAGAUGCCUUGGUGGAGUGCACUGGACACCUCGCUGAAAUCUAGUUUGAUGUUGUGUUGUCUUAUUAUCGAGUGGAGUAGUUGAAAGUUGUCUCUGUAUUGUUUCUAGCUUCAGUCCUGGUGGACGAACCUGAGGAUUUGAACUGCAAUACUGUAAUAACUUUGUUCUUUUGAUGUUUAUUGAAAGGCCGGGGCAUAAUGCUCUUGAACUCUAAAAAAAGUGUGUCUCAUGGCUCCUUAACAUCGAAGAAAAUAAGUUCAAAAGGCUUGGAUGACACACUAACUGACUUGGGGUAUGGGAGUCGAUGACUCUUACCCUGUUGACAUUCAUCGCAUGUUGAAUUAUUACAUGAACAUUUAACAAUCAAAAGUUUAUGAUGGCAGUUGAUAGUAAUUAACUCUAAUCUUAAGCCAUCAACUAAUCAUAGGAAAGGCCCAAAAUGAUUUAUAAAGUAAUAUUAUAGGGGUUUAUUCUAACGAGUUCCACGAGUUGUGUUGUUCUCACUUAUCUUGGAGAUAUUCAAUAUUUCACCAUAUAAAAGUAUCUCAAGUGAAGAAUGUGAGCACACCAUUGCGGAGAGCUCGUCGAAUCAAUUGAGACCAACAUAUCAUUUGCUAUAUUUGGAGCACCAGAGAGAAAGUCUUCGAUGGAUGCGACUCGGAAGACUCUAGAAGACCCUAGAACCAUCAUCAUCAUAAGACAAGGGACUAAACCAACAAGAUUCCACAGCUUUGUGAAAUAAUAUUUUUCAGGUAUUUAUGUAGAAGUUGGGAAAGAAAAGAAUCCAUCCAUGACAUGACUCAUUGCACAAACAGAUCGGAAAGUGGCACUAGAAGGAUAUGGAAGACACUAUAAGGCAUAGGAACAAAGUGGAGGUCUGAUGGCUGCUAGGUGGGGCCGGCCGACCCCACAUGCUAGGCCGGCUGGCCUGCUCCUACUACCAGGUGGGCCCUCCGUCGUGUGGCGGCCUCCAACCGACCUCUACGAUGCAUCUUGACCAUUAUUUCGUGUCGGUUUGAUCCGAGAGCUGUGGUUCAUCCCACUGGGGUAUAUAAGCAGAGGCAAACCCCCUUAAGACAAUCAAUUCAUUCAUUCCAUCAUUGUUCAGUUCAGAGGUGUCCCUUGUAAGGAUAACCUAGAGCUCCACUAGCUAGGGCAUAGCCUUGUACUUUUCUCUUGUAUUCAACAUUAUUAAUUUAUUUAUGCUAUUUGUCUUCUAGUUCAUUGUAUUCUUCUUCUAGUUCAUCUAUUUAUUCUUCUAGUUCAUCAUCUAGAUUGUCUAGUUCAUCGUGUUCUUGUCUAGUUCAUCUUGAUCAUCUAGUUCUUGUUCUAGUUCAUGUAUGAGUUGAAUACUUGAUAUGACUUGGUAUAAUUCUAGAUACAUAAUUAUAAUGUUCAUUGCCUAUGUUGGUUAUAUCUUUAGUAUAAUUGGAGUAGCUUUGUGUUUAUACCCUUGUUCGUAUAGCGCUCAUUUUGAUGAUCAAGGGGUGGGUGGUAGAUAUUGUGUAAGCGUGGUGCUUAUACGUUGUUUACCUAUGAAUGCACCCUAUAUUUUUGGCCAUGUGGUAGAUCACGAAGGUGACUAUUAUAGCUUCAUUGAGUCCUCUAUAGUCUACUUCCCGAAUAUAGGACAGGUAAGGCUUAGUUGUGGGGUGAUGUCUUGCUCAUUUCUUGACCCACCUUAGCCAUGUCUCUUGUUUAUGAAUACGUGGUAACCCUGACUAUGAUUGCUAUAUAUAAUUGCACUAAUAAAUGUAGCCCAAUGACCUAUAGUUAGAAUAACCCUGGGAGUUAGUUUAUAUUUUCUAGUUCUUUCUAGAGUCAUUCCUACGUAGGAAAAUGCUUGGUGGAACCCCUUUUAGGAUUACCAUGAUCUGUUAUUAAUUAUCCAUAUUUAUGAUAUGAUUGAUCCCUUCUUUGAGUUUGAUCUAGUGGAACUCUUAUCACAAGUGUAAGUUAUAGCUUUUAUUCUUUUGACCUCCAAGUGCCUUCCUAGUGGUAGAAUUAUAAAUAAUGACACCUUGAACUUUUUUUUGGUGAAAUGCUAUAACGGGUGUAUUUUAUCUAUACGCUUGUGGAUAACCUUCAUUCAUCUUUUAUAACUACUAUGAUCAUAAGUACAACCACAUCUUUUGGUGUUGUGUUGGGGAUGACAACUUGGCUUAAGGAAUGCUAAGAGAUGUCUCGAACAUUUUUGACGCCUUUGCUAAGGAAGGAUUUGACCCUUGUAUUUGUAAUUGUGUUAGAGAUGUCAAUAGUGGCUAAGGACCUGCUGCACUACUUGUGGAGAUGCAUUGCCUAGCCUAUGAUGCCAUAUGGAUGUGAUGGGCUUGAAGGCACCGAGCAGCUCUUUAUUCAGCUAUGGCUUCAGAGGAUAUGGACUCCUUUCACAUGGACCUCGGAGGAGAGUAUUCUUCCUGGCCUGCUCCUUGAUGACAAAGUGAUGGGCAUGAAAUUCAAGGAAGGCAUUAUUAUCACAAGCAAUGCGAUUUACAGAAAGCAGACUCUUAUUUGCAUCAGGCACAUGUAGGAUGUUGUUAAGAUGAAUAUUGCGAACUUAGGAAUGCAACAUAUUAUGACCAAUGUAGCACAGAUUACAAAUCACCAAGGUGGUGGUGAGGGACCUAGAAAAUAAACUAAGAAACAAGAAAAUGAAAAAAGAUACAUAGGAGGGUGACUGCCCUCAACAUCUAACACCUAGGAACUGAGCCUGCAAGAAAGUGACACACCAUCACAAAGGUCAACUACACAGAAGACCGCCCAACAACGACGAUGGCAAAGCAUCCGCCAACAAACCAAAUGGUGGAAAAGCAUCCGCCAAUGAACCAACCAGUGGCCAAACAUUCAUCAGGGAGAAGCGAAGAUAUCCACUACGACAAAGCAUCGGUAACUGUGGGACGUCCAAAUCACUCUCGAUAGCAAAGCUUCUACCAGAGAGGAUGCCGACGGCACAAUGGCAAACCAUUCGACAACGAACCAAACAAUGGCAAAGCAUCCACCAACGAACGAAUGGCGAUAGAGCAUCCACGAGAGGAGAUAGCAGCAAAGCAUCCAUUACAAUAUCCAAUGACCAUGCACCGGGCAAGGUCAAGAGUUGCAGGAUAGACCAAUGUGAUUGGAAAUGAAAAACAAUAUGCACCGUGGGGGACUCCUCCGGUAAUCAACGAUAGGACGUAGGCUUAUUCAUUAGCGACACCUUCAAAGAAGGGGGAUGCUCAUAGAACCGCAUCGUCGUUUGACAUAGAAGCAUCUAAGACUGGGCUUUCAUCUAGAAUCUAGCACCGGUGGAGAACAGGCUUGUAGAAUGACGCCUCUAGGAAGGUAAGUGGCAUCAAGACAUCACCGUUGUUCGCCCGACGACCACUGGGCUAGGCUUUCUCCCAGAGCACCACGCCGACUACCGCCACUAGACCACCCAGCUAGCCCAAGUCGCGAGCCAGGCAAAUGUGGCUAGUGGCCACCAACGCUCGGCCUGAGACGCCAAGAAGGUCUUGGGACCACCAGAACCCACUGCGCCUCAGGCCCUAGAAAAAGCCAACUAGCGGGCGCUCGACUGAGCCCACAAAACCUCCAUCGGGCGCCACCACCACGCACCACGAAGCACAUCGUAGCAAGGGGAGGAGGAGAGAGGCUUGCUCUGGACCAGGGAGGGGUGGAUCCAGUCCCGUCGCCUAGCCUGCUCGCAACAGGACACUGUCGGUGCAACGCCGUAGCGGUCCCUCACGUGUCCCCACGCGUACGAUGGCCGUUCUAAUCUGAGGGGAAUUGCACCGACCACAUCCGUCUGCCAGACUGGAGGGGGUGCGAUCGAGCGUGGCCUGGCUGCCUCGACUGCUCGCAGAGGGGGCCCAUGACCUGACUCCAACACGCGCCAGAGCAUGAAGGAGAACUGUUGUGCUACCCAGCCUUCCGCCACAGGAAGUAGUAGAUCCGGAUGCAAGGAAGCUGGAUGCCACAGAGGGCUCAGAUCCACCCCGCCGGUCCGCCAGUUCUCCGGAGGAGCUAUGUGGAGGGGAGAAAGGCAAAGGAGAGGGGAAGAGGGGGGAGACUAUGACGAAGGAGGCUUUGGCAGGCCGCCGCCAUGCCCCGGGAGGCGGCAGCGACAGCCGAAGAGGGGCGGUAGGUGGCGGGCUGGCGAGCCGGCGGCAGGAACCCCCAAGUCGGCCGUCGGGAGGUUCUCGGGGGAAAAAGUUGCAAGAGCUCACCAUUGGAUACAUGCAGGACAGUCCGGUUUGGCUGACUGUCGAGUGAACGUCAGGCGAUCUGUUUCCACGGCAAUGAUUCUUUAAGCUACAGAUUUAGCCAACCAUGUGCUUGGACUACUCUCCAUAUUUAGCCGUAUCUGCGAUGAGGAUUAGAAGGUGACAAACCGAGCCUUUCCGUACACAGUCAUAUAUAUGCAUGUGGUUAGCAUUUCGGUGACAAAACUAAGCGUUUCAAUUUCAAGCCAAACUACUGCAUUGCCAUCCUCAUCAAUUUACAGUGGUUCACAUUUCGUUCGUAGAAAUUAAUGCCAUUCAUCUGAUGACUAGUUGUACGUGUAGAAGGUCCCUUUGCCUCGCCAAUGGUAGAUUCUUUUUUUGCGAGACCCAGACACAAACGCUCACCAUACAAGUGCACAUUCAUCCUAUAAAUAUACUCACACACACUACCCCUAUGAGCACCUAAACGACUGAGUUGGACCGGCAAAUCUCAUUCAGAAAACCUAUAUAGAAUGCUCAAAUCCAAGGAUGGCCCUCCGCACCCGGCUGCAAAGUUCUGAUCCGCUGGCUAAGCAAAGCACCUCCUACAGUGCAGUUCUUCAUGUGGCUGCUUAUUCACGGAAGGAUUCAGUGCAAAACAAACUAACUUCGUAAAAGAGUGGUGGAUAACCCAAUCUGCCAGGUCUGCAACCAAAUGCCAGAGUCUACAGAUCACAUCAUUGCCGAAUGUAAAUUUGCUACUGAUAGUCUUUCAGAAUGGCAAUUGGCAACAGGGUAGUGGCAUCUGCAAUCCACGAAACUACAACACCAUCCUAUAUUCGAGACAAGCACUUCGCAACCUUCGUUGCCCUUUGUUGCUGGCAGUUGUGGAAAUAGACAAAUUGCUGAUUCUUAGUGUAAUGUUUUCCAAACAGCAUCAUUCGGGAAAACACUGAUGUAAACCUUUAUUAUCUGGGGUGGCAUUUUCAGCCAAGAUCACUUAAUACAAAUUUAAGGUGGGGAAACUCUCCCUCCCCGUUGAAGCUCAAAAAAUAAUAAUUGUUGAUCUGUCCACCAUGUUUGGAGCAUUUCAGGCGGUGAUGGCCGCUCCGGUGGUGAUGGGAACACUGUGGAGCACGACGGUCUCGACGGUGAGCCCGGGGCCAAAGCCAAAGAGGACGCCCCAGUCGAAGCCUUCGCCGGUGGUGGCCCGGCCAUCCUCGGCGGAGCGCUUACGCAUCUCGUCGAGGAUGAAGAGGACGCAGGCGCUGGACAUGUUGCCGUACUCAGAGAGAACAUGUCGCGUAGCGCGCAUUCGCUCCUUCUCCAGCCCGACCUUGGCCUCCACCUGGUCCAGGAUCGCCGGCCCACCGGGGUGCGCCACCCAGAAGAUAGAGUUGUAGUCGGUGAUCCCCAGCGGCUUGAAUGCCUCCUCCAGUGAGCGCUCUAUGUUCUUGGAGAUGAGCCCGGGCACGUCCUUGAGCAGAUGGAACGUGAGCCCGACCUCGCGGAGGUGGCCGUCGAUGGCGCCCUCGGAGUCUGGGAGGAUGGUCUGUGAUGCCGAGACGAGUUGGAACAGCGGGCGUUCCACACGCUCGUCGGGGUCAGCACCGACAAUAACCGCCGCGGCACCGUCGCCGAACAGCGCCUGCCCGACCAUGGAGUCGAGGUGGGACUCGGAGGGUCCACGGAACGUGACGGCGGUGAUCUCGGAGCACACCACCAGGACGCGCGCCCCACGGUUGUUCUCGGCGAGGUCCUUAGCCACGCGCAGCACCGUGCCGCCCGCGAAGCACCCCUGCUGGUACAUCAUCAGGCGGUUCACCGAGGGCCUCAGGCCCAGCAUCUUGGUGAGCUGGUAGUCGGCGCCCGGCAUGUCGACGCCGGAGGUGGUGCAGAAGACGAGGUGGGUGAUCUUGGAUUUCGGCUGCCCCCACUCCUUGAUCGCCUUCUGCGCUGCGGCCUUGCCCAGCUUGGGGACCUCCACCACCACGAUGUCCUGGCGGGCGUCCAGCGACGGCGCCAUGUACGCGCACAUGUUGGGGUUCUCCGCUAGGUACUCCUCCGUCAGGUGCAUGUACCGCUUCCGGAUCUGCGACUUGUCGCCUGUACCAGGUCAGUGAAUGUCAGACAGUCAGAGUCAGAAUAAAACCACCGUCGUCUAGGCAUGGCAUGGCAUGCUAUGGUGGAGCGCGGACGUCAGUGCAAGACCGCCGUCGUCGGUCAGUUUCUGGCCUUUCGAAAGAGCUAGAGAGAGACAAGUAUACUCACACAUCCUCUUGAACUUCUCCUUGAGUUCGGUCAUGUGCUCGCUCUUUGUGAUCCGGAAGUAGUAGUCCGGGUAGUCGGCCUGGUGCACGCAGUUGGCCGGCGUCGCCGUCCCGAUCGCCAGCACGGUGGCCGGCCCCGUCGCGCGCUGCGCCUUCCUCACCUCCUCCACGGUCACAGUCGCGCCGGCCAUCGUCUCCGUCCGCUCUUUCUCUCUACGUUGUACCAGAGGCAAUCGACCCCUAGCUACUUCGACAGGACGGUCGCCGGCCGGCUUUCCGUAUCGUCGGAGCUUGCUGUGCGACGGCAAGCGAGCGCUGUGAAGGUAGAUCGGUUAUGGCCUGUGGCUCUGGGAUGGGAGCGCUUGCUUGCUGUAAUGGCAGAGGAGGCAAAGGUUAUAUAGCCGCGCAUGCAGCUGGGGCAAAGGUGUGGAUUUCCCUUAACAUAAGACGACAAUCGAUUUUUAAGGUUGUGUGAGAGUGACUGCAUGCAUACAUGCAUGUGUUUAAAUCGUGCCUGUUCUCCCUUGUGUGUAAAUCACGGUCACGAAUACCAGUAGACAGUGUCACGUGCUACACUGAACGACCUAUGCUGGAAUAUAAGAGAGUGCUAUUGCAAAGUAUCAGCAUAUACUUUGUCAAAAUAUAUAGGAUAUUUUGACUACCGGUUUCCAUCCGUUAGUCGGUCAGCCACGUGAUCACGUGGGGAUUUUGAAGUCUAACCAAAUGGGAUAUGGUCUUUCUUCCCCCACCCUCUUGAAUAUGAUAGACAUAGGGAUGUAUUGGGUAAGUAAUGAGAAAUUAUGUAUCUUGAACAUGAUCACCUCAACUACCAUUUGAUCUAUUUGGAAACUUAGACAUGGUCUCUGUUUUUAGACGAUUGGCUAGAUAAGCAUGGAAAUGCUCCUUUUUAGGAUUAUUGGGCUCUUGCUUUGGAUGGUUCUGUGCCCAUCCGAUAAGAAGAAUUUACUAGAAGCUUACCUCAACAAGAUCAAGACUAUGACAGGGGAUGGUGAAGAAUGACCUGGAAAUCCUUGAUGGGUCAAGAUUCAGCGAUCACUACGGGAAACAAGAUCUUUGCCGAGGGUCCAGCUUUGCCGAGAGCCAGACCCUCGGCAAAGCACCCUUUGCCGAGAGCCAGGGCGGACUCUAGGCAAAGAACCUUUGCCGACAGCUAAGCUCUCGGCAAAGCCGAGCACUCGGCAAAGGUGCCGCGCCGUGAACAGCUUCCGUAGUCGUCGCCUUUGCCGAGAGCCAUCCCGUUAGGCUCUCGGCAAAGAGGAGGGUGGCAAAUCUCACAUGCCUAAAGCUAGGCCCAGGCCAGCAACCUUUGCCGAGCGCAGGCCACCCUGGCUCUCGGCAAAGGCUCCUUUGCCGAGAGCCAAAAUUGACCCUCGGCAAAGAGGUCCUUUGCCGAGAGCCACUAUUAGCCCUCGGAAAAGAGAAUUUUUUUUUUUGAAUUUUGGACCCAAAAUUUUUCUGUAGCCCUUGCAUAUUAUAUACAAGCAUAGGUUCAAAGUUUAGAGAUUUUUAUAACUUUUUGCUAUAUUUCAUCAAUUAAUUUAUUUUCCUUGUAUUUUUCUCGAAAAAGUCAAUUUGAACUAGAGGUGCAUGAAAUAAUAAAAUAUGGCCAUUCAAAAAAUGAUAUUCAUAUUCGAGAGUGCACUUUGAGGCUAUAUCCAUAAAGUCACCCAAAAAUUUGAAUGUCUUGUAUACGGAACAUGACCAUCGAUGUGUUGUAUAUGUGAUUUUUAAUUAUAAAAAAUCCAAAUGAACUCCAAAAAUCACAAAACUUGGCGACGUGCCAUGUUAUCGCAUGUGGACGCUGUGGUAAAAAAUUCAGUAGUGAGCUAGUGGCAGAAAUCCUUGAGCAUGUUUAGUAGGCAGGGGAGUUUUGUUUGUAUAUAUAUGUUGCUGCCUACAUGUGGUAUUAUUUUUCUUAAAUUAGUAGGAGUAUAUUAUUUACAUACGGUUUGUGUGGGGUUGCACACUGCUAGCAGAGGUAACAGUAUGGUUUAUACUAGCGUGGGUUGGUUGCUAAUGCUGCAGGGGCUGUGUUGUGUGAGAGACCCAAUUAUGUUGGGUCUGGAUUUGGUGUAAUGAUGUGGUAUGGGACAUUGGGGUGGAUCACUGGAUGGUGCUGCUGCUGCAGGCUGCUACUGGUAGCGCUAGAUAAGAGCAGCUUGGUCUCAUGGAUCCUGUGAUGUGAACAAACAACCAAACAAACAAAGCCUGAUGAACUCAUCCAGGCACCACAGCUGCUCCCUGUCUUCUCUUCUCCAGCCAAACAAGAAAACACACACACCCCUUGGUUUUUCCAUCUCCACAAGCAGCAAGAAUUCUGGGGUCACCUUUCUUCUGUUUCUUUUCUCUUCCACCAACAAAAUACACCUACAACAAGCUCCAGCAGUCCAGCUGGGAAACACUACAAAUACAAAUCCAUUCUGUUAUCUUUUAUCAGUUUCCUAUUUCCUAUUAAAAAAAUCCUAUUCUCCAGAAUGCAUUAUUGGAUUUUGCGAAGGAUGUAUGUCUUUGCCGUAAGAUAUCCAUUUCAUGAAAACGGGAUGAACUGAACCUGCUGCUGUUGGUUUUUGUACCAAUGUAAAAAUGAUUCCAGAAGUGUUUGCAGUUCACUUCCUAUGUACACGUUUGAGAAGCUCUUUGCCUAGCCAUUGCAUUCACAGCAGAAAACUUGCCGUUACAUGUGCUUAUACAUAUACAGCAGCAGCAUAUAAAUGCAGCCUUCUCAUUUGCAAAACUGAUCAGUAAAGGUUUAUAGUGAUAUUCCUUAAUUGGUUUUGGCUAUUUAUGUGUUCUACCUUUGUAUGUUAAGUUCCAAUUUGGGUAUUAAUUAAUGUGAUUAUAUUAACAAAUUUAUAUGUUGCAUAUAUAUGUGCUGCCGGCCAUCGAGCCGGCUUUUUUUUCCAGGUUUUGGAAACCUCCCCCGUGCAGGGGAGGUUCUGCCGAAAUUUUCUACUUAUAGUGUUGUUUUUUUUUGUUUUGCAGAGCAGGACCUGUCGAGGGGACUUAUGGCCACCCGAGUACGCAACACACGUGGCAGCGGGUGGCAGGUUAGUCCUUAUGGCCAACCGAGUACGCAACACACGUGGCCUGGUGCCCAUCCGCAGCACGGCCACCCUGGGUUGUCCGGCAGCCCUCCUCCGCGCCCCAGAUACUCGUACCCGUACCAGUCGGUGACAGAGUAGGCCAUGUGGGCGCCAUGGGCAGGUGGGAGCUCUCCACACCCUGGGGGGCACUCACCCUGGUCGGCGUGGCCAGAUGGGGGCUCGGGACACGACGGAGGCCAUGGCGACGACGGGUCAGAGUCACAACACUAGGGGUGAGGCGCUAGCUAGCGACUUCGAGUAGUGAUAUUGAUGUAGAUUUGUGGUUUAUGUUAUGAACUUGUGGCGACUUUAUGUUAUAUUUGUCAUAUAUAUAUGUGGAUUUGUGAUAUCUGUGGACUUCAAUAUGUUUCAUGUGUGAUUUAUAUGUGGAUUUGUGAUAUAGACAUGUGGAUUUGUGAUAUGGGCUGUGUCAUGUAAAAAACAGGGAAAAAAACAAAAAAAAAUUCUAGCUUUACCGAGAACCAGAAUACCAGCACUCGGCAAAGAUGGAAAGCUGAUCACCAGAAUACCAGCUUUGCCGAGAGCCAGCCUGGUAGGCUCUCGGCAAAGUUUUUUUUAAAAAAAAAUUAAAAAGUCUUUGCCGAGAGCCUUCUAGCCCGGCUCUCGGCAAAGACGACGUCAACUUUAACGUUUCUUGACGGCGCCGUGGGCUUUGCCGAGGGCGCUUCUGGCCCUCGGCAAAGCCUUUGCCGAGAGCCUGGACACGUGGCUCUCGGCAAAGAAUUCUUUGCCGAGAGAUUCUUUGCCGAGAACUCUUUGCCGAGAGCCACGUGGCAGGCUCUCGGCAAAGCCUUUGCCGAGGGCUUUUAGGCCUUUGCCGAGGGCUCUCGGCACUCGGCAAAGACGGUGGAUCCAGUAGUGGAUUGAAUGGGAUGUAAAGGAGAUGCCUUGGUGGAGUGCACUGGACACCUCGCUGAAAUCUAGUUUGAUGUUGUGUUGUCUUAUUAUCGAGUGGAGUAGUUGAAAGUUGUCUCUGUAUUGUUUCUAGCUUCAGUCCUGGUGGACGAACCUGAGGAUUUGAACUGCAAUACUGUAAUAACUUUGUUAUUUUGAUGUUUAUUGAAAGGCCGGGGCAUAAUGCUCUUGAACUCUAAAAAAAGUGUGUCUCAUGGCUCCUUAACAUCGAAGAAAAUAAGUUCAAAAGGCUUGGAUGACACACUAACUGACUUGGGGUAUGGGAGUCGAUGACUCUUACCCUGUUGACAUUCAUCGCAUGUUGAAUUAUUACAUGAACAUUUAACAAUCAAAAGUUUAUGAUGGCAGUUGAUAGUAAUUAACUCUAAUCUUAAGCCAUCAACUAAUCAUAGGAAAGGCCCAAAAUGAUUUAUAAAGUAAUAUUAUAGGGGUUUAUUCUAACGAGUUCCACGAGUUGUGUUGUUCUCACUUAUCUUGGAGAUAUUCAAUAUUUCACCAUAUAAAAGUAUCUCAAGUGAAGAAUGUGAGCACACCAUUGCGGAGAGCUCGUCGAAUCAAUUGAGACCAACAUAUCAUUUGCUAUAUUUGGAGCACCAGAGAGAAAGUCUUCGAUGGAUGCGACUCGGAAGACUCUAGAAGACCCUAGAACCAUCAUCAUCAUAAGACAAGGGACUAAACCAACAAGAUUCCACAGCUUUGUGAAAUAAUAUUUUUCAGGUAUUUAUGUAGAAGUUGGGAAAGAAAAGAAUCCAUCCAUGACAUGACUCAUUACACAAACAGAUCGGAAAGUGGCACUAGAAGGAUAUGGAAGACACUAUAAGGCAUAGGAACAAAGUGGAGGUCUGAUGGCUGCUAGGUGGGGCCGGCCGACCCCACAUGCUAGGCUGGCUGGCCUGCUCCUACUACCAGGUGGGCCCUCCGUCGUGUGGCGGCCUCCAACCGACCUCUACGAUGCAUCUUGACCAUUAUUUCGUGUCGGUUUGAUCCGAGAGCUGUGGUUCAUCCCACUGGGGUAUAUAAGCAGAGGCAAACCCCCUUAAGACAAUCAAUUCAUUCAUUCCAUCAUUGUUCAGUUCAGAGGUGUCCCUUGAAAGGAUAACCUAGAGCUCCACUAGCUAACCUAGAGCUCCACUAGCUAGGGCAUAGCCUUGUACUUUUCUCUUGUAUUCAACAUUAUUAAUCUAUUUAUGCUAUUUGUCUUCUAGUUCAUUGUAUUCUUCUUCUAGUUCAUCUAUUUAUUCUUCUAGUUCAUCAUCUAGAUUGUCUAGUUCAUCGUGUUCUUGUCUAGUUCAUCUUGAUCAUCUAGUUCUUGUUCUAGUUCAUGUAUGAGUUGAAUACUUGAUAUGACUUGGUAUAAUUCUAGAUACAUAAUUAUAAUGUUCAUUGCCUAUGUUGGUUAUAUCUUUAGUAUAAUUGGAGUAGCUUUGUGUUUAUACCCUUGUUUGUAUAGUGCUCAUUUUGAUGAUCAAGGGGUGGGUGGUAGAUAUUGUGUAAGCGUGGUGCUUAUACGUUGUUUACCUAUGAAUGCACCCUAUAUUUUUGGCCAUGUGGUAGAUCACGAAGGUGACUAUUAUAGCUUCAUUGAGUCCUCUAUAGUCUACUUCCCGAAUAUAGGACAGGUAAGGCUUAGUUGUGGGGUGAUGUCUUGCUCAUUUCUUGACCCACCUUAGCCAUGUCUCUUGUUUAUGAAUACGUGGUAACCCUGACUAUGAUUGCUAUAUAUAAUUGCACUAAUAAAUGUAGCCCAAUGACCUAUAGUUAGAAUAACCCUGGUAGUUAGUCUAUAUUUUCUAGUUCUUUCUAGAGUCAUUCCUACGUAGGAAAAUGCUUGGUGGAACCCCUUUUAGGAUUACCAUGAUCUGUUAUUAAUUAUCCAUAUUUAUGAUAUGAUUGAUCCCUUCUUUGAGUUUGAUCUAGUGGAACUCUUAUCACAAGUGUAAGUUAUAGCUUUUAUUCUUUUGACCUCCAAGUGCCUUCCUAGUGGUAGAAUUAUAAAUAAUGACACCUUGAACUUUUUUUUGGUGAAAUGCUAUAACGGGUGUAUUUUAUCUAUACGCUUGUGGAUAACCUUCAUUCAUCUUUUAUAACUACUAUGAUCAUAAGUACAACCACAUCUUUUGGUGUUGUGUUGGGGAUGACAACUUGGCUUAAGGAAUGCUAAGAGAUGUCUCGAACAUUUUUGACGCCUUUGCUAAGGAAGGAUUUGACCCUUGUAUUUGUAAUUGUGUUAGAGAUGUCAAUAGUGGCUAAGGACCUGCUGCACUACUUGUGGAGAUGCAUUGCCUAGCCUAUGAUGCCAUAUGGAUGUGAUGGGCUUGAAGGCACCGAGCAGCUCUUUAUUCAGCUAUGGCUUCAGAGGAUAUGGACUCCUUUCACAUGGACCUCGGAGGAGAGUAUUCUUCCUGGCCUGCUCCUUGAUGACAAAGUGAUGGGCAUGAAAUUCAAGGAAGGCAUUAUUAUCACAAGCAAUGCGAUUUACAGAAAGCAGACUCUUAUUUGCAUCAGGCACAUGUAGGAUGUUGUUAAGAUGAAUAUUGCGAACUUAGGAAUGCAACAUAUUAUGACCAAUGUAGCACAGAUUACAAAUCACCAAGGUGGUGGUGAGGGACCUAGAAAAUAAACUAAGAAACAAGAAAAUGAAAAAAGAUACAUAGGAGGGUGACUGCCCUCAACAUCUAACACCUAGGAACUGAGCCUGCAAGAAAGUGACACACCAUCACAAAGGUCAACUACACAGAAGACCGCCCAACAACGACGAUGGCAAAGCAUCCGCCAACAAACCAAAUGGUGGAAAAGCAUCCGCCAAUGAACCAACCAGUGGCCAAACAUUCAUCAGGGAGAAGCGAAGAUAUCCACUACGACAAAGCAUCGGUAACUGUGGGACGUCCAAAUCACUCUCGAUAGCAAAGCUUCUACCAGAGAGGAUGCCGACGGCACAAUGGCAAACCAUUCGACAACGAACCAAACAAUGGCAAAGCAUCCACCAACGAACGAAUGGCGAUAGAGCAUCCACGAGAGGAGAUAGCAGCAAAGCAUCCAUUACAAUAUCCAAUGACCAUGCACCGGGCAAGGUCAAGAGUUGCAGGAUAGACCAAUGUGAUUGGAAAUGAAAAACAAUAUGCACCGUGGGGGACUCCUCCGGUAAUCAACGAUAGGACGUAGGCUUAUUCAUUAGCGACACCUUCAAAGAAGGGGGAUGCUCAUAGAACCGCAUCGUCGUUUGACAUAGAAGCAUCUAAGACUGGGCUUUCAUCUAGAAUCUAGCACCGGUGGAGAACAGGCUUGUAGAAUGACGCCUCUAGGAAGGUAAGUGGCAUCAAGACAUCACCGUUGUUCGCCCGACGACCACUGGGCUAGGCUUUCUCCCAGAGCACCACGCCGACUACCGCCACUAGGCCACCCAGCUAGCCCAAGUCGCGAGCCAGGCAAAUGUGGCUAGUGGCCACCAACGCUCGGCCUGAGACGCCAAGAAGGUCUUGGGACCACCAGAACCCACUGCGCCUCAGGCCCUAGAAAAAGCCAACUAGCGGGCGCUCGACUGAGCCCACAAAACCUCCAUCGGGCGCCACCACCACGCACCACGAAGCACAUCGUAGCAAGGGGAGGAGGAGAGAGGCUUGCUCUGGACCAGGGAGGGGUGGAUCCAGUCCCGUCGCCUAGCCUGCUCGCAACAGGACACUGUCGGUGCAACGCCGUAGCGGUCCCUCACGUGUCCCCACGCGUACGAUGGCCGUUCUAAUCUGAGGGGAAUUGCACCGACCACAUCCGUCUGCCAGACUGGAGGGGGUGCGAGAAUCGAGCGUGGCCUGGCUGCCUCGACUGCUCGUAGAGGGGGCCCAUGACCUGACUCCAACACGCGCCAGAGCAUGAAGGAGAACUGUUGUGCUACCCAGCCUUCCGCCACAGGAAGUAGUAGAUCCGGAUGCAAGGAAGCUGGAUGCCACAGAGGGCUCAGAUCCACCCCGCCGGUCCGCCAGUUCUCCGGAGGAGCUAUGUGGAGGGGAGAAAGGCAAAGGAGAGGGGAAGAGGGGGGAGACUAUGACGAAGGAGGCUUUGGCAGGCCGCCGCCAUGCCCCGGGAGGCGGCAGCGACAGCCGAAGAGGGGCGGUAGGUGGCGGGCUGGCGAGCCGGCGGCAGGAACCCCCAAGUCGGCCGUCGGGAGGUUCUCGGGGGAAAAAGUUGCAAGAGCUCACCAUUGGAUACAUGCAGGACAGUCCGGUUUGGCUGACUGUCGAGUGAACGUCAGGCGAUCUGUUUCCACGGCAAUGAUUCUUUAAGCUACAGAUUUAGCCAACCAUGUGCUUGGACUACUCUCCAUAUUUAGCCGUAUCUGCGAUGAGGAUUAGAAGGUGACAAACCGAGCCUUUCCGUACACAGUCAUAUAUAUGCAUGUGGUUAGCAUUUCGGUGACAAAACUAAGCGUUUCAAUUUCAAGCCAAACUACUGCAUUGCCAUCCUCAUCAAUUUACAGUGGUUCACAUUUCGUUCGUAGAAAUUAAUGCCAUUCAUCUGAUGACUAGUUGUACGUGUAGAAGGUCCCUUUGCCUCGCCAAUGGUAGAUUCUUUUUUUGCGAGACCCAGACACAAACGCUCACCAUACAAGUGCACAUUCAUCCUAUAAAUAUACUCACACACACUACCCCUAUGAGCACCUAAACGACUGAGUUGGACCGGCAAAUCUCAUUCAGAAAACCUAUAUAGAAUGCUCAAAUCCAAGGAUGGCCCUCCGCACCCGGCUGCAAAGUUCUGAUCCGCUGGCUAAGCAAAGCACCUCCUACAGUGCAGUUCUUCAUGUGGCUGCUUAUUCACGGAAGGAUUCAGUGCAAAACAAACUAACUUCGUAAAAGAGUGGUGGAUAACCCAAUCUGCCAGGUCUGCAACCAAAUGCCAGAGUCUACAGAUCACAUCAUUGCCGAAUGUAAAUUUGCUACUGAUAGUCUUUCAGAAUGGCAAUUGGCAACAGGGUAGUGGCAUCUGCAAUCCACGAAACUACAACACCAUCCUAUAUUCGAGACAAGCACUUCGCAACCUUCGUUGCCCUUUGUUGCUGGCAGUUGUGGAAAUAGACAAAUUGCUGAUUCUUAGUGUAAUGUUUUCCAAACAGCAUCAUUCGGGAAAACACUGAUGUAAACCUUUAUUAUCUGGGGUGGCAUUUUCAGCCAAGAUCACUUAAUACAAAUUUAAGGUGGGGAAACUCUCCCUCCCCGUUGAAGCUCAAAAAAUAAUAAUUGUUGAUCUGUCCACCAUGUUUGGAGCAUUUCAGGCGGUGAUGGCCGCUCCGGUGGUGAUGGGAACACUGUGGAGCACGACGGUCUCGACGGUGAGCCCGGGGCCAAAGCCAAAGAGGACGCCCCAGUCGAAGCCUUCGCCGGUGGUGGCCCGGCCAUCCUCGGCGGAGCGCUUACGCAUCUCGUCGAGGAUGAAGAGGACGCAGGCGCUGGACAUGUUGCCGUACUCAGAGAGAACAUGUCGCGUAGCGCGCAUUCGCUCCUUCUCCAGCCCGACCUUGGCCUCCACCUGGUCCAGGAUCGCCGGCCCACCGGGGUGCGCCACCCAGAAGAUAGAGUUGUAGUCGGUGAUCCCCAGCGGCUUGAAUGCCUCCUCCAGUGAGCGCUCUAUGUUCUUGGAGAUGAGCCCGGGCACGUCCUUGAGCAGAUGGAACGUGAGCCCGACCUCGCGGAGGUGGCCGUCGAUGGCGCCCUCGGAGUCUGGGAGGAUGGUCUGUGAUGCCGAGACGAGUUGGAACAGCGGGCGUUCCACACGCUCGUCGGGGUCAGCACCGACAAUAACCGCCGCGGCACCGUCGCCGAACAGCGCCUGCCCGACCAUGGAGUCGAGGUGGGACUCGGAGGGUCCACGGAACGUGACGGCGGUGAUCUCGGAGCACACCACCAGGACGCGCGCCCCACGGUUGUUCUCGGCGAGGUCCUUAGCCACGCGCAGCACCGUGCCGCCCGCGAAGCACCCCUGCUGGUACAUCAUCAGGCGGUUCACCGAGGGCCUCAGGCCCAGCAUCUUGGUGAGCUGGUAGUCGGCGCCCGGCAUGUCGACGCCGGAGGUGGUGCAGAAGACGAGGUGGGUGAUCUUGGAUUUCGGCUGCCCCCACUCCUUGAUCGCCUUCUGCGCUGCGGCCUUGCCCAGCUUGGGGACCUCCACCACCACGAUGUCCUGGCGGGCGUCCAGCGACGGCGCCAUGUACGCGCACAUGUUGGGGUUCUCCGCUAGGUACUCCUCCGUCAGGUGCAUGUACCGCUUCCGGAUCUGCGACUUGUCGCCUGUACCAGGUCAGUGAAUGUCAGACAGUCAGAGUCAGAAUAAAACCACCGUCGUCUAGGCAUGGCAUGGCAUGCUAUGGUGGAGCGCGGACGUCAGUGCAAGACCGCCGUCGUCGGUCAGUUUCUGGCCUUUCGAAAGAGCUAGAGAGAGACAAGUAUACUCACACAUCCUCUUGAACUUCUCCUUGAGUUCGGUCAUGUGCUCGCUCUUUGUGAUCCGGAAGUAGUAGUCCGGGUAGUCGGCCUGGUGCACGCAGUUGGCCGGCGUCGCCGUCCCGAUCGCCAGCACGGUGGCCGGCCCCGUCGCGCGCUGCGCCUUCCUCACCUCCUCCACGGUCACAGUCGCGCCGGCCAUCGUCUCCGUCCGCUCUUUCUCUCUACGUUGUACCAGAGGCAAUCGACCCCUAGCUACUUCGACAGGACGGUCGCCGGCCGGCUUUCCGUAUCGUCGGAGCUUGCUGUGCGACGGCAAGCGAGCGCUGUGAAGGUAGAUCGGUUAUGGCCUGUGGCUCUGGGAUGGGAGCGCUUGCUUGCUGUAAUGGCAGAGGAGGCAAAGGUUAUAUAGCCGCGCAUGCAGCUGGGGCAAAGGUGUGGAUUUCCCUUAACAUAAGACGACAAUCGAUUUUUAAGGUUGUGUGAGAGUGACUGCAUGCAUACAUGCAUGUGUUUAAAUCGUGCCUGUUCUCCCUUGUGUGUAAAUCACGGUCACGAAUACCAGUAGACAGUGUCACGUGCUACACUGAACGACCUAUGCUGGAAUAUAAGAGAGUGCUAUUGCAAAGUAUCAGCAUAUACUUUGUCAAAAUAUAUAGGAUAUUUUGACUACCGGUUUCCAUCCGUUAGUCGGUCAGCCACGUGAUCACGUGGGGAUUUUGAAGUCUAACCAAAUGGGAUAUGGUCUUUCUUCCCCCACCCUCUUGAAUAUGAUAGACAUAGGGAUGUAUUGGGUAAGUAAUGAGAAAUUAUGUAUCUUGAACAUGAUCACCUCAACUACCAUUUGAUCUAUUUGGAAACUUAGACAUGGUCUCUGUUUUUAGACGAUUGGCUAGAUAAGCAUGGAAAUGCUCCUUUUUAGGAUUAUUGGGCUCUUGCUUUGGAUGGUUCUGUGCCCAUCCGAUAAGAAGAAUUUACUAGAAGCUUACCUCAACAAGAUCAAGACUAUGACAGGGGAUGGUGAAGAAUGACCUGGAAAUCCUUGAUGGGUCAAGAUUCAGCGAUUGAAUGGGAUGUAAAGGAGAUGCCUUGGUGCAGUGCACUGGACACCUCGCUGAAAUCUAGUUCGAUGUUGUGUUGUCUUAUUAUCGAGUUGAGUAGUUGAAAGUUGUUUUACUGUUAAAGAAAACUCUCUGUAUUGUUUCUAGCUUCAGUCCUGGUGGACGAACCUGAGGAUUAGAACUGCAAUACUGUAAUAGCUUUGGUCUUUUGAUGUUUAUUGUAAGGCCGGGACAUAAUGCUCUUGAACUCUAAAAAAAGUGUGUCUCAUGGCUCCUUAAUUUAGUUUAUCUCAGCAAAUUUUGUGGUACUAACUGGCUUGUUUGAAAAUGGCGGUGGAUUGUGUGGGAUGGGCCGAACCUGGAGAUCUUAGAGUUAUCCUUUCAACAAACCUCUUUUUUCAUUUCCUCUUCUCUUGAUAUCAUAUUCAGUGCUACGUACUCCUCCAAAUUGUAGGUCAUUCUGGCUUUUCUAGAUUCAUGGUUAUUGCUAUGUAUAUAUCUAUAUAUGUAUUAAAAGAUAUGUAUCUUAAGAAGCUAAAACAAUCUAUAGCUUGAAAUGAAUUUGGCAAGUCACAAACAAAUUAGAAUACGCUGCUCCAAAUGGUGAACAUACCUUCAAUUCCAACAGCAAGUAAUAUAUAGGAUCAUACAUACUUUGGACCUAAUUGUUUUACCUAGCACACUAUAGAUUUCAUCCACUGGAUUGUUAGUGGUGGGGAUAUAUUGUUGGAUUGUCAUGAAUUGCUACAAUUUAGUUACUAUUGUAGGCUUACCCUGGGACCUGUUUGUUUUAACAUGUAGAUUUAACACGUGCAAGUUCAAAUGUAGUUUUAUUAGAAUUCAUGUUGUCGUAUAUAUAUAGUUUAACUGUACUUUGAACAAAUAUAUCACGUAUAUUCUCCCUCUGCUUGCAAAAAUAUAAUAGUUAAAACUAUAAUCAGUUGAGUCCCCGGGCCUACUCCAACUCCUACCGACAGACAAAAAAACAUAAUGUUCAAGUUAAAACCUUCGCAUACGCCACCUCCUUCGCUUGUUGUUUCUUAACAUCACCUUCCAGAGAGCUGCGCUCCCUUUUUAUGUAGUUACAACUACCCAGUGGUUACCAAAGGGGGUUCAAGAUAGUCAUAAGAUGACACAAGUGGCCUGUCACGGAUGAGAGCAUAAUUUGUUCACGCCUAUCAUGAAGGCAUUGACAAUGUUGGUGUCGGGUGGUUCUUGCGCCGUGCAACAAGAAAACCCUUAAUCCGUGAUGAAUUAUUUAUGACGGAUUCGGUGAACGUCACUAGCAUUAUACCAUCACGCAACGCAUAACUGGGAGCAAAGUGGAUAUCCAGCCCAAACCCAAUACACACUCGCAUGUAUAAAAAUGCACCCCAAAACCUAAAUCCAUCCAUCUUUGUCCACCAGCCGCCGCCACCCCAACACCUCACCAUGUCGCUCCCAAUUGAGUGCUGGCACCCUGGGUACACCUCCUACCAGAGUGCUAACGCCCCCUACUGCUCCUCCUUGUGAGCGCCACCAUUCCCUGCGUCACCUCCCACCCGAGCGCCGCUGCCCUCGAACCCCUCCCCCACCCUUCCCUUGGAUCCAUGUGCAACCAUCGGUGGAGCAGCAUAAUUCGCCGAGCCUUUGUGUCGCCACCUAUGGCUUCUUCUCUGCUGUGAGGCGGUAGCAGCAGCAAUCUGUCCACGCCCAGCCUCUGCUGCCGCACUAGGCCGCGGCAACAGUUAGAUCCGCGCCGAGCACCUCCAUCACCACCGAUGGCUUGUUUUCUGCUGUGAGGCGGCAGUAGCAGCAAUCCGUCCACGUUCAGCCUCUGCUGCCGCAACAGGCUGCUGCAACAGCUAGACCUCACCACCGUAGUCCUGCUAUUCGUGCAGAUGCCCUUGAAGAAGUACGGGAUGUCGCUGCACAGGUGCUGUUGACGCUGGCCUCGCCCAGAUCCUGUGAGGCCCCUGAUGUCGUUGCACAGGGAUGGCCUUCGCAGUUACCGUAACAGCGCAACAAUCUCUUAUGUUUUCUGUGCAUCUUCGAUCGUCAUAUGCCUCCGCCAGAUGGAUUUUUUAUCCCCUCUUUUUAAUUGCUGCAGGUUUUUGUUGUGCAAGGCCCCGUCCCCAUUUCUGUAGUCCAGCAGCCGAUACUAGCAGGUGAGGACGAGAUCUGUCACACGCACCUUCAUGCCAGAAUGUAUAAAAAUUAAAUAUUCAGAUGGUUGCUACUUUUGCAUUGUUGGAUGGUAAUUCAUUUGUUAAUGGUUCACAUGUUUUCCUCAUGUUACUACUAUUGCUAGUGCCUUGUAUGCUUUGAAUCGUUGCUCUUUGUUUCUCUUACCUAUUAGUCCUGAGUUCCUAAUUAGAUAAUCUCUCCAUUUUUGUAGUUUGUAGUGAACUGUUGUUGUCAAUGGAAUUUGAUUUUUCUAUCAAAAGGUUUAGAAUCCAAUCUGCAAAACCUUGUCCAUUUUCAUACAUAGCUGAACUCUAUUUUCUCAAAUUUAAUGCAGAGUGUUCAAAAAAAAUGUUAUAAUUUAUUCAUUUCAAAUCAAUGUAUGUUUCUGUGUGCGUGUACUCUCACUGUUGAUUGUACUUCUAUUUUGUACAGGUACUACUUUCUUCACUUGAUGAUUUAUGUUAAGUUCAACUUGGGUAGCAGCAGCAAUAGAGGUUUUAAAGCUCUCUAUGCAGGUACAUGCAAAGGAACAGAAUUCUAAUUGAGUAUCACGUGCCAAUUGAUUCUGGCAAUUGUAUGUAGCAGCCCAUUCUAGCAAGAGGUGAAGCUGUUGUUCAGCAUCACUGACAGGAGAAAAUUUGACAAGCGCACAGAACGACCAUCCAUGCUUUCAGGAAAGGAAUUGGUGCAUAAACAAUAUUGGAGAAAUGCUUGACGAAGGAGCAUCAUUCCACUGAGGCAGCUGCAUUGCUUAUUUGCGGCAUGGAGAGACAAUUGUUGGCUAUAUGAAUUAGUCUUGUUUUUAAAUUUCUUCAUCAUCAAUGUGUAAAUAUUUAUAUAUAUAAACAUAUUUGACCAAAUGGUUGUAAAUCUAUAAUUGGAAAUGUAAUAAAGAAAUGUCACCAAGUUCGCCCCAAGAAGAGACCCAACUAGUGCUAGUGUAGUGGCUUAUAAAACAAAUCCCCACCAAGGGGCCACAUGCAAAUAAUAGUUGCCUAUAUAUAAUGCCUAAGAGCAUCUCCAACAACUUGGUAAAAUUCACUUGUCAAAUCUUGAGUUAUAGCAAGUUGCUAAUUUGUUUAGCAAAAGAAAAAAGGAUGUGUCUCCAAUAAGUUGCUAUUCUCACUUGGUAAAAAUAGAGGAUGACGGAUGGGACCCGCUCACUUGGUAAAAUAAUAUGUGUCUCCAACAAGUUGCGCUCGGGAUAGCAACUUGGGAUAGCAACUUUACAAAUCUCGGCAGUAGAAACCUCUGGAUAGAAACUUGGGAAAUUUAGCAAGUUGAGAUAAGGAGUUGUUGGAGGAGGAUUUUUAUGCUUUUAGCAAAUUUGGUAGGAUAGCAUGUUGAAAUACCAAGUUGUUGGAGAUGCUCCAAGGGCAUGAGGGCAAGGGACUCUCACUACCAUUCUUUUGCUUGUCAAAACCCUAGUGUGUCCCCUUUAAUCGGUGAGCUCUCUUCCUCUUGCAUGUUGGAACCUCCAUCACAGAACCUUCUCCAUGUAGCCUUUGCAUGGAACAUUCACUAGACCUCUGCACUAGACAUUCGUCAAAGGACUUAUGCAUAGAGCCUUAAUUUGGGAGCCUUCACAGAGACCUUCGUUGUGGGAUCUCUUCAUGGGGCCUUCAACUCGGGACCUCCGCAUAUGGCCUUCAUCGCAGGACCUCUGUUUGGGACAUUCUUAGGGGACAUCCGCAUGGGACCUCUGGAUGGGACCUUUGUCACAGGAGCUCCACAUGAGACCUUACGUCGGAGGACCUCUACGUGGAACCUUCACCAAGUGAACUUCUCUAGCUAGCCUUAUCGAAGUAGUCUUCUUUUCUUGACCCUGUUCAGGACCAUUGUUCCCAGAAAUGACAAUAGUAUAUGUAAAGUUGAUGGGUUUUGUAGUUUAUUAGUUACUUUUGGAAAAAGUCCAAAUUACUCUAUCCAAGUUUAGCGUAUGUCUAGAUAACCCCACUAAACUAACAUUUGAUCCAAUUUACUCCCUCCAUCUAUUUCAGCUGGUCUAAUUUACCAUUAACAUGAUUUGUUAUUUUUUUGUCACAUAAAAGAUGAGUUUCAAUAUUGAUUUUUUGUGAGGUGUUAAAUAAGCACAUCUCAUGUUAUUAUGUUAGAAAAAAUAUAUCUUAAGUUUUCAACACAAUUUUGAUAGCUUAAGAAAGUUUGAUUAUAAAUUAACACUAGAGAUAAUAUUGUGCAAAACAUAAAGAUGAAAGAUACAUAAUGUAUUUAUCCAACAAAAAAUGUCACGUCCUAUAUAACCUCACAAAAUUUAAAACUAACACUACUAUAGGAAACUUAAUCGAGCAAGGCAUUUUGGGUUAACCAAGGUGGUUUUUGCAACCGCUUCACACAAAAGGUCAUGCUAAAUGGGACCUUUUCCGAGGCAAUUGGAUGCCUGCUCGGUAAAUUGGAUAAAAACAAAAAAAAUGAAAACUUGUGGGUAAACCCACCAAGCCCAUCCAUAGGCCCACCAAGCCUAUCAUGCACCAUCGUUGCUGCAUUCAUACCUCGCUAGAUCUGGCCACCACGCUCGUGGAUCCGGCCACAUUACUCGCAGAUCCAGGCACCACCCAGUGGAUUUGGGUUGGAGAAGCCACCACCAAAGGAGCUCCUCGUCCAGAUCUACACUAUUGGAGGUGCUCCUCAGCCAAAGCUGCUAUGGAGCAUGAUGGAGAGGGAGUAGCUGCCGCUAAAGCAGCUCCUCGUCAAGAUGCACGCCGCUCGAGGUGCUCCUUGGCCAGAUCUACCACCGAGCAUCGCAAACCUUGUGCUCAAUGAGAGAGGCACGCUGUGGAGGUGAGGCACUAUUGGGGAGCCGUGGGAGAGAGGAGGGAAUGAUGCUCCACCGGGAUAGGGAGGGGACAGUGCUUUUGCCGUUGGGAUGGGGAAGGGAGUGGGUCACCGGGAAGGGAGGGGAACGACUGUGCCUCGAGAUAGGAAGGGAGUGUGCAUCCAGCUAGUUAGUAGAGGGGGCGUCGUUGUGCUAGGGAAUUGGGUAGUGAGGGAGAGACGGCUGACUGACGACAGAAGUGAGUGAAAGUGUGAAACCCUAACUCCCUUUCGGUAUAUAUAUAUAUAUACCCACUAUGUAUUGGAUAUGGGCUUUUGGUCAGGCCUUGAAGAUAUUAACCAAGGUGGGCUUUAUAAGAGAGCCGCCUCCAAAAAUGGGUAUACUUUUUGAGGCGGGCCACUUAUAUAGGGCCUGUCUUGGUUAAUAGAUUUUAGGAGGUGCCUCCAUAUAUCAAUUUUCUGAGGCGGUUGAUUGUAACCGCCUUGGUUAAUAAUAUAUGAGACAUUAACUGAGGCCGUUGAAAUUCCUUACCACUUUGGAGCCCCAUUUCCAAAUGUUGCGCAAAUGAAUUAUUGUAGCAGUGUAAAACAUAAAUUAUACAUAGAGAAGCAAAAAAAUCAUUUUAUGUUUAAGAUGUAAAUUGGACAAACUGAAAUAAUUGGAGAGAGUGAAUUGGACCAUAUGUUUGUUUAAGGAGAGCAAUUUAGACUUUUCCAUUCGGUUUUCAAUAGAGUUACGUUUGCCUGAGCAAUGUAUUCAAUAUUAAUAGGUUUUUCAACUAAAUUGUUUCAACUUUUUUGAUUAAAAAUUGUAAAGUAAAUUUAUACUUAAUAAUAAAGAGGUAAAAUUUCAGAUGUAAAGUGAAUUUUUUGGUCCAUCCAUUUUUUUUGUCUAUCUCUCUCUAACUAGCGAAAAAUAGAGAGUUCUCCCGGUUCGAAUAUAACCCAUGAUCAUACGAGUUAGAAUAGCUCUUCCUAGAGUCCUCUUGAGAAAGGUUUCUAAAAUAACCUAGACAGAUAUUUUUAUCCAAAUGAAUGAUAAUCUUAUAACCUAUAAACUGAAAAGGAAAUAACUUGGAUAGAUAUAGGAAUCCUAAUAUGAAUAGAUCCAUCGUUCCCAAGUAACAUGAAUAGGAAUCGAAUUCCAAAGAAACAGGAGGGGCAAAUGUUUAUUAAAAGACCAACAAAGUAUAGAAAACAUAGGCAAAAACUGAAUGUAGAAAGAGCAAGUGCUCACGAAAAAAAGAAAAAGAAAAAGUAAAAGAUUAGUAAUGGAGCUGUAUGGCCUAAAGGAUCCAGUUUACUUCUAAACAUCUUCUACUAGGAGGAUUCCCCAUAUAUUCUUACUAUAAUCUAUCGAGUUAUCAAUAUAUAUAGUCUGAGUAUUAAUAGUUAGUUUUCGAGGAGAAAGAGAAAAAGUCAUGUGAAAAAAAUAAUGCUAGCAGUAUGUGUGCAUAGUUAUGUGUAAGUAACUGCAUCCACUAUUGAAAUCAUUUAUGAGUAGGGCAUGCAGGAAAUGGAGAAUUGGAUGAUGACAUGGCUCAAGAAGGUGCGAGAGAAUUAAGCUAGUGGGAUUUAUCUUUAUAAGAGAUAUAGAUGAGAUUGUAUCCUGGCUCUGUCUCUAAAUAAACAGAGACGUACAUACGCCGCUAACUAAGCUGCACAGUCAGCAUAACACCUUAAAGUCAAGUGCGUGGAUGAGAAAAACCUGUUGCGUUGUGUGCACUGGCUAUAUGCACGUGUGUUUACUUAGCAGCAGGUUAACUCUUCCGUUAGCGAUAACAGUUUUACUAAGACCACUUUCUUAGUCGUACCACGUGAUGUGACUGUUGUGUCUCCAGGGAAAAGUUUUCUCGUAUAUUCUAUAUAAACUAGUGGAGGGCACGCGCCCUCAAGUGCGACUGCAUAAGACCAGUUUUGUUCAUGGUGUGAUAGCAUUCCAUGGAGGAUAAGUAUAGAACAUACAAUAGUUGUGGUGGUGCCAAAUGUGAGAGUUUUGAGAAGCCAAAGUCCAAUAUAAUGAGGAUAAUUAUACAUAUGAAAUAUUACAUCUAAUUUAGAGUUUAAGUCCGCUAGCACCACAGAUAUGUAGCCCAAACAUAUAGGUGCAGAAAACAAUUAAAGUUUGCUACAUGGCGAAGUAUAGUGUCUCUACAAAAGCAUUAUAGAGUGUUGGGCAGAGAUAUUAUACAGGAUCAUUAGUAAGUGGAUUGCAGCCUUCGUUAGACUUGGAUAUAGACUCGUGAAUUAUGGAAGACAACAUCCACGUCAACCAAUGGUGUGUCAUAUUUCUGGUCAAACUCCAAGCAUCUGUAGUCCUUUUUGAACCAUCCUUUCUACAGUCUUUCAAGGAUUAUCAUUCUCAGACACUAUUUUAGGUAAAAUUGAGAAACAAUACUAAUCAAUUAGCCAUGUUAAAUUAGACCAAACUGUAUGCAUGGAACCAUUUAAAGAGACAAGGCCCCUAAUAUUCAGGUAGAAAAAGUUAAACAGGAAAUCAGUCCUCCCCUAAUUAAUCAGACGUGCUGAAUUAGAACAACCUAUAUGCAUGGAACCUUUCAGAAAAAACAAGGCUUCCAAUGUUGCUGUAGAAAUCAGGUACUAAAAAAAGUAAACAGGCAAUCACACCUCCCCUAACCCAGAUAGUUCCACAAAAAAACAAAAUACAGUCAAAGCAAGCAUCAAGUCGGAUGAGGCAAAUAGCUAUGUCUGAACUAAAGACUUCAUCUACAUUUAAGUAUUAGUUAACUGCACUUACCAUAUGCGCUUGACUGCAAUUGGGCAAUGCUGUUGGGUGGACUUGUAUAGCUAGAAUGAAAACAAUAAAAAUCAAUAGAGCGGCACAUGAACUUGUGCACCUGCAAAACGGUAAAGGAAUUAUGUAAGUGUCCAAAAAAGAGCAGCAUAUUUGCAACCUGGGAUGCAAGGACUACUAAGACCUGCAGCCCAUAACUAAAGUGAAACUUCUUGAAAAUUACUACUUACAAUUCAGUGCAUAAUAGUACCUGACUUAUUGGAGCCUUGGGCGGUUCAGUUGAGCUUAUCAGUUAAUCUUGUCACAUGCAUCAUACACCAAAAGUGCUUUCAUGAAAGCUCUGAUGUAAUCUGAAAUGAUUUUAAACCAUGUAGGUUGCCCAUACAUACAAACAUAAAGAAGAAUUAAGGAACCUACCAAAAAUUGUUUAGAAAUAUUUUUGAAGACUCACAGAACCUUCCAUCAUUGUCCACCUUCUCCAAGUUAAUUUAAACACUCAUUGGUAGAACUGACACAUAUAUGUGGGCAUACACCACACAGCCGCUCACCAUGUCUUCUUUUGUUUCUUUCCAUCCGAAGAGACCACGUACCACAUAAGAAUAUCGCUGCAGCAUGAUCAGAGCAGCAACUCGGGUCAAUCAAGUCCCGAGCCCAUAUAUGGCGAUGCAGUCUCAGGAGUUUUUUUGCCUAUAAGUGCUUGUGCUUGGGUCUCCCAUGCAUGGCAGUGUUUUGGAAUCCACCGGUCCUGCCAUAUUUUGAUAGAACUCCCAUCACCAAUUCUCGUUUCAAGAGUCCCAUUUUCAACACAUCCCUUUUGGCUAAAAUUGCCCUCCAGGUCUGGCUAGCAUGCUUCUAGAGGCAGAUAGAAAAUCAGUAUCAUGAUAAUACCUAGUACCUUUGCACGCAGCGAGUUUGGCUUGUUGAUUAGUCUCCAGCCAUGCUUUCCCGAAAUAGCCAAGGUAAACUUUCGUAGAUCGCGGAAAACCCAUACCUUCAGCAAAUUUUGGUCGUGUGAGUAACUCCCAAUGUUGCCAAUGCAAGCGUCUAUUAACCGCAGAGCCACCCCACCGAUAGUUUGAAAUCACUGUUUUCAUUUUCCGACAAGCUAAGUAUAUUUGGGUAGAUAGAUGGAAAUGUGGGAGCCUCGUGGUCGUGUUCACCCUUGGAUAGCUGCAGGACGGUCCGAUAUGGCUGACUGCUUGCCUAGUGAAGUCGACGAGAGCAACGUCAGGCGAUCUGAUUCCACAGCAAAGAGUGGUGGAAUAACCCAAUCUGCGAGGUCUGCAAUCAAAUGCCAGAUUCUAGAGAUCACAUCAUUGUCGAAUGUAAAUUUGGUAUUGAGGUUUGGCGAAAGCUGGGGGUAGUCUUUCGGAAUGGCAACAUGGGAGUGGCUUCUGCAAUCCACGAAACUGCAGCACCAUCCCAUAUCCCAGACAAGCACUUCCCAACCAUCGUUGCUCUUUUUUUUUUUUUUUGCGAAUAAACCAUCGUUGCUCUUUGUUGCUGGCAGUUGUGGGAAUAGACAAAUUGCUGAGUUCUUAGUGUACUAUUUUCCAAACAGCAAAGUAGUUAUCGUUCGGGAAAAACACUGAUGUAAAGCUUUAUUAUCUGGUGGCCUUUUCAGCCAAGAUAUCACUUAAUACAAAUUUAAGGUUAGGGAAACUCUCCCUCUCCGUUGACACACAAAAAAAAAUAAUUGUCAUGUAAUGGACUCUAGACAGGACCUGUCUACCAUGUCUGGAGCAUUCAUGCCGUGAUUGCCGCGCCAGUGGUGAUGGGGACGCUGUGGAGCACGACGGUUUCAACGGUGAGCCCGGGACCGAAGCCAAAGAGUACGCCCCAAUCAAAGCCUUCGCCCGUGGUGGUUUGGCCAUCCUCGGCGGAGCGCUUGCGCAUCUCAUCGAGGAUGAAGAGCACACAGGCGCUAGACAUGUUGCCGUACUCAGACAAGACAUGACGCGUGGCGCGCAUCCGCUCUUUCUCUAGCCCGACCUUGGCCUCCACCUGGUCCAGGAUCGCCGGCCCACCGGGGUGCGCCACCCAGAAGAUGGAGUUGUAGUCAGUUAUCCCCAGUGGCUUGAAUGCCUCCUCCAGCGCGCGCUCGAUGUUCUUGGAGAUGAGCCCGGGCACGUCCUUGAGCAGGUGAAACGUGAGCCCGACCUCGCGGAGGUGGCCGUCGAUGGCGCCCUCGGAGUCCGGCAGGAUUCUCUGUGAUGCCGACACGAGCUGGAACAACGGGCGCUCCACGCGCUCGUCAGGGUCAGCUCCCACAAUAACUGCCGCCGCGCCAUCGCCGAACAGCGCCUGGCCGACCAUGGAAUCGAGGUGGGACUCGGAGGGUCCCCGAAACGUUACGGCGGUGAUCUCGGAGCACACCACCAGGACGCGUGCCCCGCGGUUGUUCUCGGCGAGGUCCUUGGCCACGCGCAGCACCGUGCCACCUGCGAAGCACCCCUGCUGGUACAUCAUCAGGCGGUUGACGGAGGGCCUGAGGCCCAGCAUCUUGGUGAGCUGGUAGUCCGCGCCCGGCAUGUCGACGCCGGAGGUGGUGCAGAAGACGAGGUGGGUGAUCUUGGAUUUCGGCUGCCCCCACUCCUUGAUCGCCUUCUGCGCCGCAGCCUUGCCUAGCUUGGGGACCUCAACCACCACGAUGUCCUGGCGGGCGUCCAGCGACGGCGCCAUGUACGCACACAUGUUGGGGUUCUCCGCCAGGUACUCCUCCGUCAGGUGCAUGUACCGCUUCCGGAUCUGCGACUUGUCACCUGCACCAGGCCAGUGAAUGAAUGUCAGACAGUCAGAGUCAGAAUAAAACCACAGUCGUCGGUGGUCAAAGGCAUGGCAUGCUAUGCCGGAGCACGGAAGUCAGUGCAAGACCGCCGUCCUCGGUCAGUUUCUGGCCUAUCGAUGGAGA